rnacentral:lncRNA from 1 species
UUGAAAUGUAGAUGACUGUUUUUAGAUAAGGACCAAAAUUACAAAUAAACAAACCUCAAGGUAAAAACAGAGAAUUAUGAAAUUCUCUCCCGUGAGGAAAGUUAUAUAUUACAUUCAAAUUACUCAAGAAAUAAAUCAAUAAAAAAUGUGAUAUAGAUAACACAACUGUGAAGAAACAAAAUACAUGUUUUAUUAUGACUUUGCACAUAUCCUGACCAAUUAGGCCACCUUUUUCCAACCCUUUGGCCUUCGUGGGGAUUCUGUAAGACCCGUAGUUAGGGGAAUAGUAAAAUUAAUAUGGUUAUUAGUUGGGGCACAUUAGUAAAUAUUUAGUAUGUUAGUUAGGUAUUUUUGCUAUAAAUAGUGGGAGGGGUGGUGAGGAAUGUUAUGGGAUUUCCUUGUAAGGGAAUUUGGGAGAGUCUAGCCCUCUUGAAACGCUAGGGUUUACUUUGUUAUUCGUUCUUGUGAUUUAGCAUAUAUUUCAAUAUAUUUUUCGUAUUUGAUUGUUCUUGAGCUGUUUGUGUGUUCAUGAGUAUCUCGUGUUAGGUUGGGUUCCUAAAAGAUUCCUAAUCUUUUCCUCUUCUGUUUGGUAUUUUAUCAAUAUAAAGCCAAAGUUUCUUAUUAGUUGAAAAGAAACACAAGGACUCGCUUUGACUAAAUAUGAAAACUGAAUAUUUCCCAUUUUGCUUCAUAAUGAUUCUAAAUUCAGAAUCUUUGACUUGAGUCAAGUAGUUUUCCUGUUAAAUCUUUAUUUUAAUAUACAAGAAAUUGAGUUUUGUUUUGUGAAAACUAAUUUGGAAAGCUGCCUAAAAAUGCAUAAUCUUCCAUUGGUCUCUGUAUUGGAAGUGCUACCACUAAUGAAAGUUGACUCCUAACUUAAUUUCUAUUUGUUGAACUCCUGGUUCGGACGAAAGAAGUUUGGAGUGCACCUGAUUUCAACACUUCCCUCCUCAACUGGACCUCUUUCCCCAUCUUAUCAGCAGCCCUUGCCAAAGUUUACAUUUGUGAUGUCUGGCAUUUAUUCCUUUUGGAGACUUCAAAUUUUGGUUUUGCCAGCCUUUGUCUGAUUGGGAAUCUAACAAUGCAACCUUAAAUCCUCAAUCCUUUCGGCUCCAUUCUAAGAACUUCAACAAUCAUUUAUUUCUUAUUCUAUAUGAUGUAACACCCCUGUAAUUUUGCUUCUUUUUGGUUUCUUUUCUUUUUAAAAGUUCUCUUUAUUCGUGACUGUUAGGUGGACCAACUUGCAUGUCUGAUCCAACUAAAUGUUAAACUUUUAGAAUAUUAAUUCUCAAGCAGGUGCUACCAUUGCUUGAACCUAUUCUCACAAGUUUUUCUUAUUUGCAUAGUUGUUACCUUGCUGACAACCUAUAUGGUGGUUUUCUGAGAUAUUUUUUAUUCGAUGGCUCAUUUUGGCUGGGAUUUUUCCUUUUUAUUUUUUGUGUGUUCUUUAAUUUCUUCCCCAAAAAUAGUCUGUCCUCUUUAUGGAAGAAAAACUAAGGCCUAAGUAUUUUCGGUGCAAGAUGAGAGUUUUUCCCCUUCCAUAAAACAUUAUUUUGUCAAGCCUUUAUUGUUUACCUAACUCUUAUUAAGAGCUAGGUUAACCCACGGUGGUUUUUUGAGAUACUAUUAUUUGUGGGCUGAUAUUAGCUUGAACUUCUCCUUUUUAUUUCUCAUGUAUUCUCCUAUUUGUUCUAAAUAAAAUUAGUUUCUUUGUGAAAUGGCUAUACCCAAAGUAAACUUUUGGCGUCAGAUGAGAUUCUUUCUUCCAUGUAUAUAUAUUAAUAAACAUAAAUUUCAUUAUCAUACUGUCAUAUAGAAUUAUAUGACCAACACAAAUAAAAAACAUGAUGAAACCAACUGCUAACUAGCAAGAUCAACCCCACUCCACAAAUGUACUAUUGGAUUUAAAUUAAUUAAUAUCAACGAGAAAGUUGGAUGGGUAAAACAAUUCAUCUCCCUCAAUAAGUGCACUAGUGGGAAGACAGAAGUAGAAGGCAACCUGGUAACAGCACCCAUAGAACGGCCCCAUAGGCCAAUCAGAGAGACAUUUCCAUCUGCCCGCAAAUAUUCAACGACGGCUUUCAAAUCAUCCUUCUGAAAGAGUUUCAACAAGUUCGACAUUAUAUACUGAAGGAAUGAAAAUGUCAAUAUGCAUCAAACACCCUAAUCAGCAAGCAAGAGACCUACAAGAUGCAGUCAUUUACUCUAGUCUUCACUUUUCAGUGAUAAAAGAUCACAGAAGACAUGCAGAUAAUAAAAUGUUUAGGUUUUAAACAUAGCAGGAUUCUGAUUAUCUAAUACAUGCCAUGUGGUAUAAAAAUGAUUUUUUGCCAUUUACGAAGAAUGUAUACAGUACAUUGUGAGUCUACGUAAUAACCUCCAACAGAACGAACUAUCCCAAGAAGCUAGAGAGAUACUUUGACGCAAGAAAAAAGGGAUAUCCUAGACACUUACUUCAUUCCACCCCAAAGUGACAUGCUCACCCCCAGAAAGUCCAGAACCAGAAAAAUCAAGAGCAAACACGGUGAUGUUAGAAGGCAGUAAUAUUAUGGCAGCCUCACUAGCAUCUGCUCGACACCCACUGUUUCAAAACAAAUAAAAACCAAUCAGAAUAAUCCAGUGAUUUAAAAGUAUUCUUAACAAAGAGGAUUCAUAUAAUGAGAUGGGUUUCUAGCGGGAACCCUGCAGAAAUAAAGGCUUAAAUUGAAUUUCCAAGAUUAAAUCUGAUGAGUAUGCAAUCUGUUAUAUUACUUUCCAGGGAAGCCCUUAUUCAGAUGUGUAACUGGGUAUAAACUUUCAUGUCUAGUUAGGUAUAAAUUUAUACAACUCACCUGUUGCCAUGACAGUAAAUUACACAGGGUAGAGGCUUUCCCUCAGGACUAACAAUAGGCAAGUAAUGACUACACUGAAGUACAUCUCCCCGACUGUUUUUAACCUGCAAUAAUGUUAAGAAGAAGAAGAAUAUAAGAUCUGAAUCCCCUAAGUCAGAUAACAGGUCUUGGUUCAGCUUAUAUUUUGAAUUACAGGAACUAGAGAAUGGGAUAGAAAACAAAACCAAGUUGCCUACUUCUAGAAUAAUUGAAAAUGACAAGAGGAUGCCCUCUCAAAGAAAUCAAAGAAUUUACCCAUCCAAGUGUCAAACACGAAAAGUUACCGCUACAAGUUAGGACACCGUUUCUCUAAAGUUGGUCCAAGUAUUGCCAGCAUUAAGAGGGGAAGACCAAUUACCUUCAAAUGAACAAAUAAGUCUGGAGAAAUUCCGCAUACCUCUUGUUACUAUUACUGAGUGCGAGACUUCGUCCAAGAGUAUCCAAUGAUUUUAAGGUUGCCUCCAAAGACUUCCCAAGAAUUCUUACACAAUUUUCCUUUUUGUUUGAGAAUAUCCACUUUCAUUGAGAAUAUAAUAAAAGAAUGCAAGGGCACCCAAAACAAAAGCCCACAAAAAAGGAGCGCCCUAGACAAAAAGGACUUCGAUUAUGCAAAUAACACCUACAAAACAGCUAUAAAAAAGCUUUGAAUUUGAAACCCACAAAGAAACUUGAUAACGAACAAGGGAACAAAUCUUGCUAGAGACCCUCUCCACACCUCUAAAAACCCUAUUGUUCCACUCGUUCUACACCACCCAAAAGAUAGCACACACCCCCACAGGCCAAAAAAAGUGACCCUUCUGCCCACGGGGUGGGUUGAGAAGAGACUCCUCAAGCAACACUCUAACAUCUCUAAGUCGAGCAACGACAGUGUCAAAUGUCUGAAACAACCGAUCUCAAACCAAGCUGACAAACUCACUAUCCUAGGAAUCUUAAUGCUCCAAAGCACAAAAAAAUAGACAUUCCUAGGAGAGAAUGAUCAACCAAAUUACACAAAAACCCCUCCAAAGGAUCAGGGUUCCAAAUCCUCACAUGUCUUCUCCCACUUCUAAAAGAGAGACCCUCAAGUAAAGAAAGAAGAGCAAAAUUCUCACACACAACUUGUAACCUUUUGAGCUCAAGCCAAAAAUCCUUUCUCCACUUUUAAGUGCUAUCACACACACUGCGAUGAAAUUUAUUGCUAAUACAUUCGAUAAUAUUUUCCUGUGUGCAUGAUUGCGGUCGAAGAUUUUGCAGAAAGCAAAGCUUUCCAUUGGGCAAUGUCAUGAAGGCCUUUAUACUCGAAAAUAGUGAUAGAAAAGAGUUUUUAAAUCGUUAGUGGUAAGGGGCAUGCUUAGGAAGAAGACUUCGAAUUGGCUAAGUUUCAAAGUUCCUUGUGCUGUUCACUUCAUAGUUCUUUAAAAUUAUACUCCUUUUGUUAUUAAGUCCAAUUUAAGAGACUUUCCUAAAUUCAUUUUUAGACGAGGAUUCAGAGAGAUACAAUGGGGGAGGGAAGUGUAGAAUUCAUUCCAUCACAGUCUGGAAAUUCUCUUUCUUUUUCUAUUUCUUUCUUCUGUACUGCCUCUUUGUAACUGUUCACUGUAUCACAGUACGUUUGUGUCCUUUUCCUUUUCAACGAAAGAACGUCCCUUUAAUAAUGAAGAACCAAGUUCCUCUUAAAAGGAAACCAUCUUUGAGUUGACAAAAGAAGAAACAAUCACUCCCUUGCUAGAAUUAGAACAUCCCUUCAUCCUCCACGGCCAUCAAGUAUACUGAUAUCAGCACAAAUUCCUUUGCUAUGUGAAAGAAUCACAACCCUCGCAACAAACUCAUUGGUUCUUAAAUUAAAAAAUAAAAUAAAAUAAAAAGAAGAAGAAGAAGGAUGAGGAGGAGGUCCCCUAAAGCCCCAGUGGUUCGAUUCAGUAAGACCAAAUAAUUAAAGAUGGAAAGCAAACUAUCUGUGUGAAAUUUAGACAACCUGCCUGUUCUACUUCUAAAUCCCAAUAUGACCCUUAGUUCCAAAUUUCUUUUGUCUGUGUGGAAAUUGAUUUGAUGGGUACAACCAUCCUCACACAGGGAGAGGGAGAGCAACUCACUCAGUGAGAAUUCCAGAAUUCUCAAACGUCCCAGACGGUUAAAAGAACUACAAAAACUCCACCUCUUAACAUGAAUCACCCAUUAUCUUUUCGUAACUGACAGCCAUAGAGAAGCUAUACAGUGAACUUAUUUAAAGUGUCAAAAACGCAUAUUACCAAAUAUUUAACCACACAACAUAGACAAAUCAAAUCAAUGAAGAAAUCCAAGCAAUGAGAAAGUUGACAACAGAGUCACUUUAUGAUAUGAAAUCGUACCUCCAGAUCCUUCCUUUGAUACAAUUUUCCUCUUAGCGUGAACUCAUCUUCUAGUAAAUCAUUGUUUGGGUCGUAUUCAGCUCUGUGAGUGAAUUAAACAAAGUUGAAGUCACUUUUAAUUACCAACUUUAGUUUAAUGAAAUGAAUAAAACAGAACCGCAGCAUAUAUUGUAAAGAAUUUCAUAUGAUUAAGCAAUAAUUAUAGAGCACAGUACUAAUCGAAAUAAUGAACGGAUCCGCAUUUCAAUACCAUUAAAUCGCAUAGAUCUCAUUCAAGUCGGGAAUACCCAAAAAGGAAAAAAAAAAAUGAAAACUACACACCAGGUGUAACAGACCGUUAACAAAAACGAAAGGCAAAACAAUAUUUAGAUCUCAACCUACAAGCCACCUCCAUUCCCUCAAUGGAAACCCAUGUAGAAUUUGAAUUUCAAGAACCUUUGUACCAAGAUUAGCAAAAAGAUUAACAAAAUAACUUUAAUUUCUCCAAAAACAGAGCAAAAGCAAAAUAAAAUACUUGAUAUCAUAACUCCAAACACCCAUCACUCUCUAACCUUUCACAACAAAAAAAAAAAAAAAAAACGAACUCACGCACCAAAUUCCAACUCAAAUACUAGUAAUUCAACAGGAAAAGAGAAAGAAAAAUCUAAAAAUGAUCAAAAACUUUACCUGGGAGGACGAAUGAUGAAGUUGAUCAGUUGCUCCAUCAGAUUCAAAGAAACAAAAACGAAGCAACCGAUCUAUAUCGGUAACAGAAACUGAUUAUGGGUUUCCAAGAAAGAAUAAGGAGUAAAAUAAUAAGAAUUCACCAAUCAAGAAGAGGAAAUCAAAGAGAAAGGUAUGGGAAUAACCAAAAAAAAGGAUUAUUCGGUGAAAGGAAUGAGAAUGAAGAAGAAGAAUAGAAGGUGGGUUUGUUUGUUUAUUAAGUUGCGUUUUUUGUAUAUACUUUUGUUCGUGUAUUGGGCUUUCGAUUUUCGAAGCCGCCUUUCUACAUCCGAUGUCUAUCUGUCUCCGUUCCCGUCUCCGUUUCUCCGACCUUCCUGCACCUGACCACACGCGCCUUACUUAGCGCGUGCAUGUGUCUUCUUCGCAGAUAUCCUCUCUCUCGCGACGUCUUGUGUUUGGGCCUGUAGUGCCUACUUUGGUGGUCUUAACUGGGCCUUGGCCCAAUGGUGCUCGUAAUUAUUAGAGCUUAUAGAAAACUGGAUUACAAAUUUAAAAAAUAUCAAGAUUUACAGCAAAUCUGGGGGUUGUAGACUUCUCUUUUUUACCGAUUAUACCGUUUUGUAUACAACCAUUCUUUUCCGUCAAAUAUAAUAUAUUUGUAUAGCUAAAAAAUGAUACAAUAUAUUUAUAAAAACCGUCCAUUUUGGAAACUUUAUAAGAUUACCUCGACAUUUGAUAGAUUUAUGUCUCCCAUUUAUAUAUAAGAAUUUUAGGUUUCAAAUCAAUUAAAUAACAAUUUAUUUCUAUAAUUCAUAUUAUAUAAUAACGAUUAUUUGAAUUUAAAUUUUUGUAAAGAUUAGAUAGAGCCAUGACUAUUUGAAUUCAAAUUUUUGUUGUCAGUUAAUAUCUCUAAAGUAAUUGUUAAUAUAAUUUCAUCAUUCUACGUGUGAUAAAGUUCAUUUUAAUAUUUAUUAAUAUUUUAUUAUAUAAUACAUAAUACGUAUUUUUAUAUUUUUAAUAACAAUUUGAAGUUAUAUUUUAUAACAUCUAAUAAAAUCAUCCAUAUGAAUUAUUUUAAACGAUCAUUUCCUAAAAUAUUGAUAAACAUAAAUUUAAUAUUUUUUAAUUAUUUAUAUUUCAAAAUUUUUAUAAAAAAUUGAAUUUAAAUAUCUCAAAAAUACCCGAAUUUCACUUUUUUAUAUUUUCAGCCGAUUUUACAUCUACACAGGAAAAUUCUUAUAUGAUAGGUACUAUGACUGAUACAAUGUAUUUGCAAAUAAUUCGGUUAUGUAAAACUAUUAAACAUUUAUUUUUUUCAGGAUGGAUCUGAUUGAAUCAACAUUUCCUAGAUUUAUGUCUGCAAUUUAUACUCUAUUUUCGUGUUUGUAGAUUUCAAAUCAAGUAAUUAACAAUUUAUUUAGUUAUGGUUGCUAAAAUUUAAAUUGUGUUUUACUUCUAUAAUUAUAAUUAUGAUGCAUUUAAUGUAUAUAUAAUUAUUCUAUGAAAUUUUUAUAUUUUUUCUAUAAUCGUGGUAGUUGAUUGAUUUUCUUAAACUUUUCAUAUUUCUAAUAAUAAUUUAUUUAACAUAAUAAUAAAUUAAAAUUAAAAUCGUAUCUUACCGAUAGAAUUGUGAUGCAUUUAAUAUAAUUAUUCUAAAAAAAUUGAUAUCUUCUAUAAUCGUGCUAUUUGAUUGAUUUUCGAGGUAAAACAUAAUUUCAAAAUUUUAGGAUUAUUUUGUUAUUAUCCCUUAUCUAUUUUUCACAAUUGUUUUCGAAAAAAAUAUUUUUAAUUUUGAUUUGAAAGUGUCAAAAUAUUAAAAUUGCUUUAAAAUUUUAUAAAAAUAGGUAUUAUUAAUAAUAAUUUCAAUUUAAAAUUUUAUCCCUGAAAUCGUGCUAAGACUAUCCACUUAUGUUAUUAAAAAGUUUAUCGAAGUGUUAUUUGCUUCAUAUCUCAAAAUAAUGGCAAACAUAAAUUUAACAUUUUCGAAUUAUUUAUAUUUCAAAAUUUAUAAAAAAUGAAUAUUUUAUUUUUUGAAUGAAUUAAUCGAGAAUAAAAUAUUUUAUUUAAAUUAGAAAAGAAAAAAUGAAAAGGAAGAUAUUUAAGGGAAAAAAAUAAUAUGAUAAUAUUUAUUAUCAUUAAUAAUAUUAUUAUUACUAUUCAUCAUCUUCUUCACAUUCAUCAAACCCUAGUCGCCGACGACACCUCCACUCUGUCCGAGUGUUAUCCGUUCCGAGAUAUCCACCUUUGUAGCCAUCCCCUCCAUUUUGUUGACUGAGAACUAAGCCGUAAAGAAACGUCUCCUCCGCUGCAUGUUGCUAGUCGCAUUUUUACUUCAUUUGAAGUCGAACACCUUUGAGCCACUUGUUCCUUCGUGCAUUGCACGCCCAAUCGCAUCGGUCUCCUUCAUCCUUCAUCGCCAUUUGUUCACUGGUUCUGCCAAAACUUCCAACCACCGUUGGUCGUCGGAUUUCAGUGACUUCGUGAUUGGGUUUUGUUGUACUUUUUCUUAAUUACCCCUUGAAGUUAAGAAAGUCAUUUGAUAUGCACUAAAUGUACAAAAACUUUGAAGGUUUUAAAGAGAAUUAAGCUUGAAGCUCCAAUAUUUUCUACAACUAGUCGAAGACUUUGAAGAUUUGGUGAAAUCUAGGAAAGUGAAAGAUAGUGAAGCUGAAUUAUUUUCCGUUUUGAAUACCUAAACGUGUCCAAUUUCAACAAGAAUGUGUUAUUUAAUUACAAAGUAUUUGAGUUUAAUUUUUAGGUGAACAAUGGUAUUUAGGACUUUUUUUAAACUGGCUAGGGGCAUACGAGACAUUGUUUAAUUUAUUUAUUUUUUAGAUUUUUAAAUUUUGCUAUUCUAACCACUUAAAAAUAAAUUUGUUACUUUUGAAAAGUAAAAGUCAUAAUUCGUUUUUCUUAUUGACAGUCAUAAUUAUUAAAUGGGUUUUACAUGAGUUUUAGAAGCGUUCUUUUGUUUUCGAGGGAACAUAAUAAUUUAAUCGUCAAUUAACCUCAACCUCUUUCAACUUUUAUAAGCCUAUCAACGUAAAUGUUUAAAUUUUAUGAUUAUAUCAAUUUAAACUUUUCGAUUAUUAGAGAUAAACAAAUGUGAAGACAAACUCUUAAUUUGUUUUUUAUUUGGAAGUCGAGAAUUUACAUUUAUAAAAGUUCAAAGUUUAAAUUAACACAUUAAUAAAAGUUGAGGAUCUAACUUGACGUAACUAUUAGUUUAUGGUUUAACUUUAGUCAACCUUAAACGUCAAGGUUUAAAUUGGUAUAAUUAUUAGUUUAGAGUUUAAAUUGUUACGAUCCAAAAUUUAAGAUUUAAAUAGGGCCAAAAUUAAAUCCGAUAAGAAUUGAUUGUUUAGUUGGUUUAAUGGUAGUUAAUCAUGACCUAACAUAGCCAUAAACUUGAAUGCAUGUCCUUUCCUUGGUGGAUGAAUACAUCUUAGUGGUUAAUAGAUAUAUAUGAUUUAAUUAUGAUAAAAUAAUUAAUGUAUGAUUGACCACGUCUAAUGUCGAAUUUUUACUUAAGUAAGUCAUGUGAUUGAAGUAGAUCGAGUUACAUCCUUAGAACUUUUACUUUGUUUUCAAAUGGUUAUUGACCCUUCAUUUUCCACACGAGCAACUACCUUUUCCUUAGCUCAUUUUGGUUGCUUUUAAAGAAGUGAAGUUUGAGAAAAGAGUCACUAUGCUUCCAUCUGAAUUAAUUUAGUAUUGCAAUUUGCCACUUGUAUUACUUAAUAAUAUAGAUAGUCUUGAUCUUUUAAUUUGAUCAUUACAAACGAUAACAAAAUGGUAGUUAAUAUUCAAUAAAUUAAAUAUAUGAAACUUCAUUCAUAGAGACCUUGAAGACGUCGAAAGAAUGUAAUAGCAAAUGAUUACGCGUUAGAUUAAAUAGAGUUUUACUUAGUGAAAAAAGUGUAGGGGUGGAAUUGCAACUAUUCCUUUUUAAGAUUAAAAGUUGUUUUAGACAAUUGCCAUAAAUUUGAAGAACUUAUAAGGUAUGUUGAAAAUCAAUUCAUAGUUCGACUAUGUGUUAUAGUUGAACCGAUGCACAACCCUUGUAUUGCUUUUCACGAGACGGAAAGAACCGAACCAACCCGGUCGGCUUAUUUCGGAAUUUCCAAUUUUGCGUCGACAAGGAGAGAGAGAGAGAAGAAGACGACACGUCGACGAAUUAGAUCGAGACGAUCCGUCGUCUUAUCGACGUUCAAAGGAGAAAUUCCACAGAAUCGCCGGAAAACGGAUUCCCGCCAUAUCCAGAAGACACUCCGACGGCACCGAACAGACUAAAGUCCCAAAGAGAGAGCACAGCCUCUUCUUCAUCGAUUCGUUCUCCAUGAGCUGUCCGUACAGUUAUUUUCAAACACUCGCCUAUUCUCUUCCGUCCCCCGUUCACAUUCCCAAAUCCCUAGUUUCCCCAAUUCUCACCUCAAUUUCACCCCUAAGUUCCGGCAAAGUUGGAGCACCUGUUUACUGGACAAUCGUCCUUAAGCCAGUGGUAAAGAGAAGUUUGGGAGUUAGAGCUUCGAAGAGUGAUGAUACUGGAACUGAGAAGUGGCUGAAAUGGAUACCCAAUGGAGCUUUAGCCGCCGAUAAAAUUUUGCGCUCGAUAGCCGGUGCAACCGCCAGCCCAAUCAGCCAGUUCAUUUCGUCGCCAGUCACAUUUCUUCAUUCCGUAGACCCGCGAAUUAAAUUGGUAAAUAAAAAUCUGUCUGGACAUUUCUUGAUCUGUUUAUCUCUCUCAGCAGCAUGUCAUUGUUGAAAACUUGCUUCUUAGGUUUCUCUUACAAUCUUGCUGUUAUUUUGAUAAGUAAUUUGUGGUUUCUGGAUGGAAAAAUGUUGGAUGGCUGUUGGGUGUAAAGCGUCACAAGCUAGGUCACUUGUCCAAUCGUUUUAUUUGUAAUGAAUUUAUCCUAUUGAAGUUUGUCCCAUAUUUUACUCAUUCACGAUUUGCAAAUUCUUCCACCGUGGCUUUUGUUGGUCUUCCAAGUUCCAACCGCUGGUUUUAUGAAUUCUGGUUGACUGCUUGUUUUUGUUUGACAGAUAUGGCUGUUGGCUCUUGUUGUUUUACCAGCUAGAUCAAAUAUCACUAUUCGAUUUGGACUGGUGAUUUUCUUGGCUUUUCUAUCCAUAUGGAUUCUUCCAACCGAGUUAUGGAAGGUAUACUUUGCUCAAAAGCCAAAUAUGAUCACUAUCUUUCUUUUAAUCAAUGGAACCUUGGGAUAUUGGCAAUGUCUAUGGUUAACAUUUCUAUAAUACUGGGGCUGUUUCCUUUUUUAAAAAAAAAAAACAUUUCUAUAGUACUGGAUUGAAUAAUGUGAUAAUUGUGGAGGGACUCUCUAACUUUUUAGGAUCAACUGGGAAGAGUGUCUAUACUCUCAGGCAUUUUGUUCGUCAUGCUGGGGCUGGGUGCAGACGGUGUGCCAUCCCUCAUCCAAUCAAGAACUCCUCCACCUGGAAUGAUGGGAUUGCCUGAGCUCCCUGCUUCUGUGGGAGGUUACUCGUAUUUAAUUGCAAAGCUUGGCCCUUUAACUUUUACUAGGAAAGGCUUGUCAAUAGCAAGUACAUCAGCAUGCUUGACAUUUGUUGUAAGUUGAUUCUUAUUUUUAUCAGCUGCAUGUUAUCUUUUCCCCUGUUCACAUUAUUUGAUAUGGGUAUUGAGAUGGGGAAAGGAGGUGCAAACAAGGUUGAAUUAAUUGGCUUUUAGUUGCCUGAAGGGAUCUCAACUCUUGGUUUGAUAUUUCUCGAAGGUCUUCCAAAGUGCAAGUCUCUGCCUCACAACCACAGCCCCAGAACAACUUGCAUUUGCGAUACGUUGGUUUAUGCUUCCUUUGGGGUAUUUUGGUGUUCCGGUUGCUGAAAUCACACUCACUCUUUUACUUUCUUUGAGAUUCGUUAGUCUCGUGUUUGAUGAGGUAGAGAUCAAUAAAUUAUUGACAAAAGUAUUUCUGAUGAUUGAUAAAUCUUUGUGAGGAUUGUUAGUGGUAUUAUUAUUUUAAUGUUUUUGGCAUUUACAAAAGGAAUCAUGUGUUGUCAGGUUCGAAAUGUUGCGUUAGGAAUUGUAUCCCGCAGGAUAAACUGGCAAAUGUUGACCACAAUGGAGACAGUUGAUGGUAAGCAUUCAGUGUCAUCGCCAACAUGUAUUCGUCCAAACUUUUUAAUUGAACACUUGUAUUGCGUGGGGAAACUCGUGUCAUGGUUUGUAGACUUAGAAAUGAUUAAUGUACACUUCAAUCAGCACAUCACUGUGAUUCUACACUGAAUUUUAUUUCUAUUAAUCAUGUAGAUUCUCCCGAGGAACUUCUGGUUCUGGGGCAUCAUUUUCCCUCUUCAAAUUUACCCUGCAAUUCCUUCAUGAUUUGAAGCAUUUCAUUAUAGAAAGUAUUGAGCACUAGUUCAAUGAUCUUCAAUGUUAGUUUUGAUGCUAAUAUGUUGCACAUUUCAUCCAAAAGUAUUAUUGUUUAUUUUUAUUAUAUCAUAAAUGUUUAUUUUGGUUAAACCUGCAGUUUUCUUUACUUAUCUCCGUCGCAUCUUCAAAAAUAUUUUUAGCCAUGCGGAGCAGAUUUCUCAGGUAACCUAUCCACUGCCUAUUAUUGUGCACGCCUUCAAUUACAGAGUGCUUUGUCUGUUCUUUCGCUGUGUUUCAAAGUGUUAAGUAUUUCUAAUCAUUAAUUUUAUUUUAGGACCUUGUUACAUACUGACUAUCAAGAUACCCCAGGAUCCUUAGUAAGGUCUUGGUUCAUACCCCAGGUUAAAAACUUGAUAAUUGAAAGUCUUUGUUGUCUUUUAAAGCUAGCUUUGGAUUGGUCAAAGGCUCGGUGAACUAGUAGAGUGAGCAUGAGCAUAGUGCAAGUAGUGGACUCCCAGUCCCCGCCCUUGGCUAUUGAAAGGAAUAAAAAAGAGAGUAGAAAUUGACUAUCAAGAUUGCCUUGGUAAAAGUUAUACUUUAACAUGUGAUACGAUAAGGUUGCAAAAUGGACAAGUACACUUAGAGAAUGAAUACAGUUUUGUCACUGACGUUAUACCUCUCAAUUCUAUGUUUAUUUUACAGUUAACUUCCAAAUGUUGGUACUUUGUUCAUUUAUGAGUUGAUCGAUUGCUUAAAGUUGUCUUUGAAAAAAAAAAUCCAUAUCAAUUACCUGACCUGAGUGUAGAGAUGCCUUGGGCUAUUGUGAUGAGCAACUUAGUGAUAGAUCUUCAUUUGUGGCUCGUGCUAUUUCAAAGUAAUAACCUCAUAAGAACAACCCCAAUGGCUAGUUUGCUACUAUGCCUUUCAACUGAUAUUUAAAACUUUGUGUUGAGUAUACAUUUUUUGUUUUUGUCGGUUUAUGUCUGUUUAUGCUGAUCAAAAUUUGACUCAAUGUCUUACGCACACUGCAGGCAAUGAUUGUUAGAGGUUUUCGAGGAGAUAGCAGCAGUCAUAAGCUAUAUUUCUUGUCAAAUUCAUCAAGCAGAAUGGCAAAUAUUCUCUCCCUGUUAUGCUUGAUUGGUGUCAUCAGUGCUUCUGUUUUCUUUGACAAAGUCAUCAUCUGAUACCUACUUCCAAUUUUUGCCAUCUUCUCUCCCUGCUAAAGCUGUUGCAAGUGAGUUUAUCUAAUGACACCCCUUAACUGGACUAGUAUAGUUGUUGCUUGGAAGCCUCUUGUUUGAAAGUCUAUUAACUUUUUUUAUACAGUACAUGGGCGAGGGCCCUAAGUUUUUCUUUUUGUCAUACCAGCUUAGAGGUCCCAGAAUGAGCUUAAUAUAAAAUUCUUAAUGUUUCUCGAGUUACACACACUAAAUAGGUUAAAUAUUAAACAUCCAACCUUAAGGAAAAGAGUAGCAGUUAAGUCUUAACUGUUGAUCGAUGUCGGUGAGUCGGUGACACAACCUAUAGUUGAAAGUUCACUAUUUUUAACAAUAUGCGGGACAUGUAUAUCUAUACAUACUACAUAGAGACAGGAGCAGUUAAGUCUCAAUAGUUGAUCUGUCAAUGAGUUGGUGACAAUCUAUAUUAAAAAUUUAAUAAUUUGACAAUAUAUAAGGUAAGGAAUCAGACCUUUGACAUCGAGAUUGAUAGUACAAAGUUCAUGCCAAUUAAGUUGUGUUCAUUUUGAUUUAUAGUACAAACUUUGAGCCUUUCUUUUAGUACAUGAAUUUGUAUAUUUUCAGUUACGAGUUUAGUUUAUUAAUCUCAGGUAUUGUACAAACACAGGUUCAUGAAACUUGCAUUAACAUUUACAUUUUACCAUACCAUGACAUGCACUAACUGAACUAUAAACUUAGGCUUCUCAACUUUAAACUUGUCUCUACGAUAAUCAAACUUUGAGAUCAUUUCUGAUUUCUGGUUGCUUGUUGGUUUAACAGGUGAAAAUAAAUACUUCAAACCAACCUAGAGAUCUAUAUUGCUCAUCCCAUAGAUUUUUCUUAGAUGGGACAUGAUGAAAACUUUCAUUGGGUGGAUUCAAAUGGUACAUGAUUUAUGUUGGUGAGGGAGUUCAGGAGGGUGUUCCUGUGUUCCCUUGAUUGUAUUACUUUGGAAGUAGUGAAACAUCUUUAUUGAUUCCUUAGAACUUAGGGAGGGAAAUAUCUCUCUUAUUGUAGGAAAAUUAAUAUGUUCGAUAUCUGUUUAUUUCAUUUUAGUUCGAAAUAACUACUUAAUUACAAAUUAUUUAGUGAGGCCCUGCUGCCUCAUAAUAACAAUCGAAAAAAGAAAUUAACAUUUAAAAGCCAAUUGUGUGUAAAUUUGAGGUAUUUCACUCUCUGUACAUCCACAUACCUAAAUGGGAACCGCUGAAGUGUGUUUCUUUUCCGUACAAUUGGGAGUAGAGGGUUUCAACUACAAACAUUGUGUUACUAACUAACACACCUCUAUGAUAUUUAAGCUAUGUUCAAUUGGCUUGUUAAGGUUGAUUUUAGCUUACGAUAAUUGUUGUACUGGUUCAUUUUUUUUUAAAAUUUUCUAUAGACAAACAACGGCUUGAAUUUGAAUUUGAAUUUGAAUUUUUUUAUGUUUUUAAGAUGUCAUUUUCGAAAAUUUAAUUUAAUUUUCAUGAAAAAAUGCAUGUACUCCUGAUAGUAUAAUAAAAUGAAUCAAAAUAUUUACAAAAUAUAACGGUCUAUAUGAACCUCGAUAAACCAAAAUAGAUUACUAUUUAUGUUUAGAUACAAAUAAUAAUUUAUAUUGACGAAUUUAGUAUAGGUCUAGGGGUUCAAGCGCUCUUCAACCAAUGAUCUUUAUAAUAUAUAUUACUGAAAUAAUACCAACAUAAGUGGUUAGUCUAGUGGUAAAACUGUAAACCAAUCUUUUGUCAACAAAAUCAUAUUUGUAAGUAUUUUCGUUCAAAAUAAUUUCCCUUCUUUUAACAGUGGUUUCUAUUCUUUUUCUUUGAAUUAAACUGAUAAAAUGAGAAUUAUGAAAAACACUGCAGAGAAAUGACUUAAGCUAACUUAGUUCCCAUUGGUAUUGUAAGUAACCAAGGCAAAGUCAUCCGGUGAAGUUUUCAAUGGUUUUGAAUAUUCAAAUUAGACCUUUCUUUGUUUCAAAAACGUUGCCAUCUUAUUAUAUGUCCAAUUCCUCAAAAUGAUUUUGUUAGUAACAAAAUAACAAAACUUUUCAAAUACUACGUGCCUCAAAUCUUAGAUAUAUGACAACUUCACGUUUGUGUGAGUAAAUAUGUCAGAUCAAGGAUGUAUGUCGACUUCUUAUUUAUAAAUGUGUGUUCUAAAUAUAUAAGUCAAAAUGAACGUUUUAAAAAUAUAUGGACUAAAACAAACCAAAACUAAAAAUAUACCGACCAAACCAAUAUUUCCAAAAUAAUAUUAAACAUAGAGAUAGUUUCUAUUAGAUAUACAUAUACGACAUAGGUUAUACAUCAUAUAUACGCAUGGAAGUAUACAAUUAAAAGAUAACAUGUUUCAUCAAGUUACCAAAAUGACUAUUGUUUAGUUCUCAAUAUUCUGCAAUGUACCUAAAUUUAAACGUGUACAAAGAAUUGUUUUAUAGUCUAAAUAUUUUGAUUUGUCGUACUUUUUAAAAUCUCAAUUUUAGAUGUAAUAUAUAUAAAAAAUAAUAAGAUUGGAUAACAAAGCAAAAUUAAUAAAAUUUAGUAAAAUUUUAGACGAGAUAGAUAUGGAUAAAAGUUGAAGAGAUCGAUAGAAACCAAGAAAGAAAUUAGUUUAAAUAGAAAGUUAGGUUAUUUGUUUAUAAACCCAAAAAAGAAAUCCUUAAAUUCCAAUAAUCAACUUUGAGUUGCGAGUGACGUCAACGGGCACAAAGCCACUAAUCUGACAGGACGGGACACCCUUUUAAACGUGCUACCAAAUCAAUCACCGUUAAGUUCUGUGAGAUGAUCCCCACUGUCGGAUCUACAAACCGACGCAAACUAUUUCCAAUCAUCCAACGACCAGAAGAGGGCUGUGAUACUCAUGGGUCACAGCUGCGUAACUUGAUCAAAUUUCAAAGGCAAUCGGGCUUCUUAUCGGUGGGGAUGGCCAAUCGAGCCGAGAUGAAAUUGUGAUUUUCAGAGAAAUUUUUCUCGGGAAACUCGGCAAGAAAAUUUUGGAGCAAGAACGAGAGAAAUGUUCGGGUACACGGGCGUCAGCAACAAGGGUGGAGAAGUAGACCUAGAAUCUGGAGAGACCUUGUACCCAGGUUUGAGCUAUGGCGAGAAUCAGCUCCGAUGGGGUUUCAUUCGUAAGGUCUAUGGAAUCCUCGCGGCGCAGAUCGUUCUCACCACCAUUGUCUCCUCCGUUACCGUUUUGUAUUCUCCGAUCAACGACCUUCUCCGGGGAAAUUCUGGCCUUCUUCUGUUCCUCUGCUUCUUACCCCUAAUUUGUAAGUUGGUCAUUGACUCAUUUCCAAAUCGUUGUCGAAAGGUCCUGGUUUAUCUAUUUGUUAAUCGGAUUCGUUUUGUUUUUAAGUUAACUGGGUGGAUUCAUUUUGUGAUUUCGUUGGAUCGGAAUUUGGGAUGUCGAUUGAGGAAUUAUGGUCACCGUUGUUGUUGUUGUCUUCUGAGAUCGACGUCCUUAUUUUUGGUAGAGGGUCAAUUUGAUGAUGGAAUGUUGUUGUUCGUGGAUUUUAGGAUUCUUUAAUUUGGUUAGAAGAAUUAUUUGUCGAUGCAAUCUAUGAUUACGUUAUUUUUAAGCAAGAAAAGCUGUUGGGGAUCCUGGCUUGUUCUCUGUGCAAUCUGGUUUCUGCGUUCGAGCAUGGAAAUGCUUUGAAAGUUCAGAAUGGUUGCCAAUGCAAGAGUACUUUUGGUGGAUUCGUUUUUGGGUUUUGUUAUUGUAUCAAGACCAAUAAUUCGUGAUUUACUUAACCAAAAGUCGGUUGGCGCAUUGCCUUCUUGAAUGGAGACGAAGCUCUAACAGAGGAACUUUUCUUUCUUUGAAAAUGUGAUGAACUUUUCCAUAUAUCAUUCUUGUUACUUGCUCUAUAUGGUUUUGCUUAGUACAAUGUCUAUCGAGAUCAAUUCCAAGAAGGGGAUGUUUGAUUGUUUCUACUUUGCAAUUCCCGUUUCAUUUUACUUUUCAUCCUUUGUUCUUGGUUCUCAACAAAUGGUAUUGCUGCCUGUAAUUCCUUGGUCUGUUUUUUUGUUCUUCAGUUUUUUGUCUUUCUUUUUCCAUCAAUUUUGAUGAUAUGAAUAAUUUCUUUUCUGAGUUGCAUUAUGGUUCAAUAUCAUUCACUAACUUCAAAUAUUUGCAGUACUAUGGCCCAUGUACAUUUACAGGCAGAAGCACCCUUUGAACCUUGUCUUCCUCGGAAUUUUUACUGCUACACUUAGCCUCACGGUUGGCGUCAGCUGUGCGAACACUGAUGGUAAGUAUUGGUAUAACCACAGUAAACUGUUUAGACAUGAUGAUCUGUAAUCGUGUUUUAGAGUGUGUUUGGCUGAUAUCAUUUCAAGUGUUUAAUUUUGAGGAUGAGUCAUUUUCCAAGAUUGAAGUGGUUGGAUUCAAAAUAGCUUUUAAAUAUAUUUUAAACACCUUUUCCAAAAGAGUUUAAAUAAAAAUGGUUUUCUUAAAACACUUUUUUCCAACCCCAAAACGCCCCUUAAUGACCGGUAUUGAAAUGUGCGAUUCUGUACUUGUACUUGCAGGCAGGAUUGUGCUAGAAGCACUAAUUUUGACCUCAGCAGUAGUUUCUUCCUUAACUGGUUACACCUUCUGGGCCUCAAAGAAGGGCAAGGACUUCAGCUAUCUUGGACCAUUUUUGUUUACUGCCCUAAUGAUUCUCCUCCUCACUAGCUUCAUUCAGGUUGUUUUCACUCCCCAUUUACUAUUUCAUAAUCCACCCUAGCCCUAGUGGCUCUAUUCUUAUAUUUAUCAUGAGCAUCUUGUGGUCUAUUUUUAAGUGUAUGCUUUGGUUUUGUAUUGUAGGCAUUCUUCCCUCUCGGUCCUACUUCCACUGCUGUUUACGGUGGAAUUGGUGCGAUAAUAUUCUCGGGGUACAUUAUAUACGAUACUGAUAAUCUGAUCAAGCGCUUUACAUAUGAUGACUACAUAUGGGCUGCAAUCACCCUAUAUCUGGAUAUCCUGAACUUGUUUCUCACCAUUUUGCGGAUGCUGAGACAGGGAGACAAUUAGGUGGACAAAGUUUCUCUCUACCUGAAUUCAGGCUCAAUCGUUCAGUUGCUUAUUAAAUAUAUAUGUGUGUGUUUAAAAAUAAUUUUCGGAAAAAAGUACAUAAUACUCUGAAGUAUUUUCGUGUUGUCUUCUAGUUUUUAUUGCUACUGAAUGAAGUUUGAUAUUUUAGUUCAAUUUGUGCACCUAAAUUGCCUUAUAUAACACAUGCUUUAUUUGUAAAUUCUUAAGCUGGAACUUUUGUUGAACUUGCAUGAAUUUUUUACUCAUGCUAUAUAAUUUAGUACCUUACAUGUUGGUUAAGAUUAACCUCAAUAAUCCAAUAAUCCUAUUAGGGUUGAAUUAAAAAAUUUUAGUUUUUUUUUUGUUGAUUUUAGAUUAGAAAUGUUUUUAUAUAUAAUUGAAGAAAAUGAGGUAAAAAAAAAAAGGUUGUUUGUUACUUAGAAAUGACAACUCAAUCCAUAUUUUAAUGGUUGGGUCAAUGAACCUGAAAAUACAUUUUACAGUGUUAUAUAAUUUAAUAUAUUACAACACAUUUUAACUAAAAAAAUGUAAAGUUUACUGUAUUACAUGUAUUUCUUGACAUUUUUAUCUUUAUUUAAUAUUAAUAGAAUUUUAUAUUUUAAAAUCUGAAGUCCAAUAUCUGAAUUACAUCACAAACAAUUUUUAUGUUUGGAAAAGUGAAUUUGAACGCAACUAAACUAAAUUGACAACGAACUUUUGAAAUACUUUAAAUUUAAAUUUUACAAAGUGUAGACACAAAUUUGAGGAGUUAAAGAUUUUAUUAAACAAAAAAUUCAAACUAAUAUCUAAUAAAUCAAUUAAAUUCAGCAUGCUCCAUUAUUAGAUACAGAAUCACAGUCAAUAAGUCACCAAUUAGUUUAAAAUCAACAAAAUACUUCUGAAAGUUGGAGGACUUAGAUUCACAGUUUAACAACCCCCCAAGAAAAAAAUGAAAAGCAUUUGUCAUAUAAGAAAGUUUGCUGAACAGUUGAUACUUUAAAGAUGAACACAAAAUGGCAUUUCUUAGUUGAAUAGUGCCUUUUCACGCAAUAUUAAUUACAGACACCCCUCAAUUUGCAACAAUGUUGUUUGACAGUACAUUUGGAUCAUGGAUGGAUGGAAAUGGCAUACGCUAAAAGCAGAAAUAUGUAUACAUUAAUAACUUGAACUUUGACAAUAAUCAAAUAUCUCAAUGCAUUUUAGAUGGAAACUCACUCAACAUAUAGCGUGGAAGAAACGAAUUAACGAUGCAUCCGUGCAACUCUCUCGAUUUCUUUGAUUAUCAACUCUUUUUCUUCUUCGAACUGUUCGUCCUCAGCACCUGUAAAAGCAAACAUAACAUUGCCAUUUUUAAGCUAAUAAGAAGGGAGCAUAGAAUGUGACAGCAAUGCUUUGCCACUUUUAAACUAUAACAACCUUUCCCAGGAGAAAGAUUGUGAAGCAAUUCCAGAAGCUUUUCGUGGUUUUUCGUCAGAAUAAGCUUGAUUUCGCGUGGCUUAUUAGGAUUUGCAACAAAAACCUGCAAAAGAAUUGGACAAACUUAUCCAAAAUAUAGGCAUGAUCACAUAUUGUCCAAUGAGACGGGGAAAUGGUGACCCAAAGAAUGUUAAGUAAGCAUGAUCCACAGACCAUCUCAAAUUAAAAAUUGAUUUUAACCAUGUAAACCAAUUGCCUUCUUGUUGUAAAUAUUUCUAUUUGCAGUUAACAUUACGGUCAUCAUCAAAUUGAAAGAAAUCAGACUGGUUCACAUCUAUUUGAAAAGGAGUUUCUGUUAGCAAGCGCUUAAAGUGCUCCAAAAUUUCUUAAUCCAAGUCUCCAGGAUGAACCUUCACUCAAUUCAAUCGAGAAGCAAUUGACUAUAUUAGACACUUGGUUGGCUAACUUUUUUUUGUGAGUAUGGCUUAUUUGGGAACAAUUAUAGGUCCUUGUUAAUUGUUCUCCACUUAUUCAUCUUUACAAAUUUUGAAUUUUCGUAAUACAUUUUAUGUACACACACACACAUACAUUUUAAAUGUUUAAAAUCUAAACGUCUAUUGAAGUUUGAUAUGGUUAAGGUCACUACUGUCAGGUUGAACCAUUUAAAGAGUGCUGCAGCCGGCAGGUUGCUAGACCAGCAUAAUGCAAAGAAAAGGCAAAUUCGAUGGUAAUAGAUUUUGAAUGAGUUAAGAAUACCGAACUCCAAUAAAAGCUGCAUACAAUACCUUGAAUAUGUGGAAAGCAGACAGUUGGAUGUUCUUGCUGGAAUCCUGCUUGAAAAAACCAAGAAUAUGAAAAAGGCUUGAACAUCCAUGGUAAAUAAUAUUUGCACCAAAUGUUUGACAAAUUGAAUAAACACUAAAAGCAUUCUACCAAUCAUUACCUUUAAUAGAGUCAUCAUUACUUUCAAGUUCCGAAUUUCUAGAAUGUAACGCUUCAUUAUUUGGGAAUUCGGAGAUUCCAAUAAAAAUUCUGAUAGAAGCUAAACUCAAAAAGAAAACAUUUUUCAGUAUAACAUUGUAUAGUUAGGUAUUUACUCAUAUAAAAGGAGAUUAAUAGAGCCACUCACCUUCAAUGACUGCCUUCUAGUUACAUAAUUGGAAGAUGUCAAGAGUGCUUCAUAUCUGUCAAAGAACUGGAAAAUAAUAUCUCAUUAUAUGAACAAAGAAAUGGAGUUAGCGAUAUAAAAAAGAAACAACUUUGUGGGUGAAGGUUCCGUAUCGAGAGAAGAUAAUCUCAGGGAAACAGGCUAAUCUAUAUCUUGAUUCCAGACAACCAUGGGUCUAAACAAUAUCAUAAAAUAGAACUGUUGAUAUUUUGAAACACUAUAAAGGCCAAUUUGGAAAUCUAAUCCUUGGAUCAUGUCGCUUUUAAUUAACAUUGGGACUAAAUCAAUCUAUUUAUGAAGGAAUGAAGACGAAACAAAUGAAAGUAUGAGGAUUAAGUCGUUCAAAAUGACAAAAUUUAAGGGCUAAAAGUGAAGGUAAAAGUGAAGAAGAAGAAGCAAUAUACCUCAUCAUAAUGAGAGCUCAAGAAGUCGGAAACUAUAUCAGGAUGUUUUGUAAGCAGGUCCUGCCAGAAAUGUACUUGUUUCAAGUUUACUGUUUGCACAAUGGGUAUUCCAAUCUAAUGCAUUUUGGGUUAUGUAUAUACUAUACAGAAACUUAUGUCUAACCUUAAAAGUAGAAAAUGCAUCCGAUGCAACAUCAAAAUUAGGUAACUCCACAAACUUAAAGAACAAUUCAAAACUUGCAGACUCCAAUAUGUACCUGAGAAAUCACUACAAAAAUAAACUGUGAAGAAAUGAACUUCCCUCUUAUAAACUGAAAUAUGAGCUUCCUCGUCUACCGCUAAAAGGAAAGAUUAUUAAAUGAGGUUGGUACAAUGUGGCCAAGGGCUUUGCAUUUUUCAAUAUAGAGGUGAAACUAAAAGAUACAAUUUCACCACUCAUCUAAUGAUUUAGAGGGUGGCUGUCAUGCCACAUUGAAUAAUUUUCCAACAAGAGUCUCGCCUCCAUAACUUUUAAUGACUGGAAAAUCACUUUGUUAAGUUCCCUAAAUGAUGUCACAUGGGUAAUCUUUAGUUCAAAUUCAUAAGGUAAUUGAUUCUAAAAGAGGGGCAUGUUCAACAAUUUCAGAAAAUGGGUUUAAGAAACAUGAAAAUCAAAUAGAGAUCUUGAGCGCUAUGACAAUUUAGAAUACAAACAGGAUCUGCUGUUAUGCAAUUACGUUAUAGAUUUAUUAAAUAUGAAGGAAUGAUAGUAUUAGUAAGUGCCUAUCCAGCAAUUGCCAUGUGAUGGCUUUGGGCCCCCAAAUUCAAGGAUACAAAAAUGCUAAAAAUAUGAACUAAAGUUACUGGUGUGUACAAACAUGUCCAUAGAAUGAGCAAUGAGUGCUUGCACUUCCAAAAUUGUAUAAUACUUCUUUGUAAUCUUGUCAACCAAGGCUUUAUAUGGAGCUAUAGAAAUUUCUUACCUAAAUUCUAAUGUAGCAUCAAACUUUUAUUGAAGAGCAAAGUAGCACCAUCAACUAUACCACAUUGAUGAAACCUUAAUGGUAAAAGAACAUGCAUCUUACUUUGCAAGUGUUGGAAAUUUGAUGCAUUCCCUCAACAUAUUUCCACAGUUCACAGCAAUUUCUUUGUUGUCAUAGCUGCAUGUAACAGGUAUAAGGAAAGCUGUAAGCAGACUGGAGACGGUAGUACUGAACUUAGUACUAAUCUGAACAUUCCGUGAAAUGAUCUUAGCAGUUAAAUAGUAUAAGUUGGUCAAUGAAAUAAAGCCACCUACAAAAUAAUACCAUUGUCUGCAAGAGAAAUAAUUACUCUUGCCUAUGAAUCUCCCUAUUCAGCAGAUAAAUUAUUCACGACUUGACUCUUCUACGAUAAACAAACUACUCCAGAAAGAGGUAUCCUUGAACUUACCACACAACGAGAAAGUCUAACAACUCCAAAUGGUUCUCAAUGUACUGUACACAACAAUAAGUGGAGGCAACCUUUUGUUUCAACAAUAUGGACCAACAAUUGACAAGGUCCUUUCUUGCCUACAUUUAAAAAACAUCGUCAAUCAAAGGUUGAUUAAGAUGAACAUUCUGCCCAGCAAUCAACUGUUAGAAAUGUAAGAUAUAACUCACUUCCCAUCCCAGAACAGGCAAUUUAUGGAUUAGAAGAUCGAUAACACACUCUUUACAUAUUUCCUGUGUUAGCUGUAAAACUUGAUCCGCAUUGGGUUCAACCUCCGCGUCUCCAAUGAGCAUACAUCUCAUAGUAACAAAAUUCUUCUCAACUUCUUCCAUAGCCUGAAGCAAAGGAUCAUUCAUACAUUUAAACAACCUCCAAUUCAAAAACAAAAGAAUUCCAUCAAACAAUUCCCGUAAACCUAAAUGUAACUCCAAAUUAUCCUCGACCGGAAAUUUGAGGAAAUGAAACUAACCUUCUCAAGAGCUCUAACUUCAACGACGGUUUUGGUAUCGAGAGCCAUAAGGCUAUCCUUGAUGAAUUUGGCAACCUCUUGAGGGGUUUUAGGCCUCGAUGGCUUGAAGAAUGAGAACGACAUGAUCGAGAGCCGAGAUCAAAUUACUUGUUCCGUGGUUCCUCAACGUUUGCCCUAGCGAUCUUCGUUGAAUUGUAGAGAAUUAGCUGAAGCGACGUUCUUCGUCGUAAAGCUUCUGUGUAUUCAAUCGUUCGUGUGAAAUUUUCUGACGGAAUCUUCAACCAAACAUUCACAUUUUUUCUUUUGUUUAAUUUUAAUAAUCAAACAAAUGCAAAAGAUAAAACGUUGCUUUAUUGUUCCCAAUUAUGGCGUAUGAUUACGAAAUCAACGAUGGAACUGGACGAGGGAAGAACAACGCGGGGUGUUUCGCAAUGAAUAGGAGUAGGAUGGUGUACAGAAACUGAAGCGACGUCGUUCGUUCCCAGCUUUUCGAUGUAUCGGUUUGACCUAACGAUUGUCGUACCGUAUAUGUUCCUUUUUUUUAAUAAAUGGGUAAUUGUUUUAAAUUUAAAAAAUUGUUUGAAAAUAUUUUUAAAUUUUAAAUAUAGAAAAAUUUAGUAAUUUAUGUUUUGAUUGAGCCAUUAGUGAAUCGAGGACGAGCAAAAAAUUAUAAAGUUUCUAAAGUGAUACAUACCGUAAAAGUUUAUAAGAUAUCAAAUUGAUAUUUGUUGGUAGCAAGACCCACCAAUUUUUUUAACAAAAAAAAUGGAGUUCACGAAUCCUAUUUCUCGACUUUUUAUGACAAACACACCUUACUGUCUAUGUGAUAGAUAGUGAGGUUUUUAAUAUUGUGCAUUCCCUUUUAUAUAAACCAUAUAAUAACUCUUAUUUUCUUUUUAAAAAAUUAUCACUUUACGAAAAAUAGAUGAAAUAAUAAAUAUCCUCCCACCAAACAUAACAAAGCAAACAAAUAACACACAAACCAUCUAUGUUAUUGAGAUUCAAAAGUUAUAACGAUUUAAUGAGAAUCUUCAAAUACGAAUUCAUGCUUUAUUUAUUGACGAUGGAGUAAAAAAGAACUUGAUAAAAUAUUUUUAAAUAUAAAAAAUAUCUUAUAUAAGGAAUAUUUUUUAUAUUUUUAUUUAAAUGAAACAUUUAAAGAAUAUAUUAUCAUUUGAUGUCGAAAUUAAUUAUCCUAAAUAUAUAAAAGAUAUUUUGUUAUUUUUUAAAUAAAAAUAAUUUUAUAUUUGUUAAAACCUCUAACACAUUACAUGUUUUUAUUGAAUAUUAUAUGGGAUACGAUAGACGAAUGUUCUCCUUCUCCCUCUAUGAUUGCAAUAAAAAAAUAACUUUAAUAUAAUAAAAAAAUUAGAAAAACUGACAAGGUUUUCUAUCAAAUAAAGUUUUUUCUAUGAAAUGUAAAUUUUAAAAAAACCCAAUUAAAGUCUAUUUUUAAAAAUUUAGUUUUUAACUUUAAUUUUUUAAAUAUAUGUCUAUUCUUUUCCAAUAUCUUACCAUUGUUAGAUGUGUUAAUUCUCAAUCAAAGUUAAAAGUAAAAGAGUUAAAAGAUUUUUUUAGUUUUUAAAAUUUGACUUGAUUUUAAAAAACAUGUAAAGAAGUAGAUAAAAAGAAAAUAAUGAAAUACAUGGUAUUAUGAUUAAUUUGAAAAAUGGAAAACAACAAAAGUAAAUGGUUUUUUAAAAUUAAUUUUAGUUGCAUGAACACAUAAAUUCUCACAUAUUGCUAAAAUCAAAAAUCAACCUUAAUAACUAUUUUAAAAAAACAAUUAACUAUGGAGAUCGCUUUUUACUUAUUAUUUUUUUCAAUCUAAUCACGAAUAAAUCUAAUCUAAACUUUCACAAUACACAUUUGAAGCAAUGUUUGUUAUGAGUUCCUAAAAAUUUCAAGGAUUCUAACAUAAUUCGAAACUCAUACUCCUAACAUCGUCUCUAAUAUUAUCACACAUUUAAACGUUUGCUGACUUGUAAAUGACAAAAAAAGGAACACUCUUGGUAACUUGCAAAUAUCAAUUUAUUUUUACCCCUCAAACUUCGAGGUUCAUUGCAUCAAUCUAUAUAUUGUAUUUAAACUUUUUUCGACAAACAAUAUGUGAAACUAUGAGUCAAUUAAACUCAUAAUUAUUCGUAACGUAAUCAACGUAAAUCAUUAUUACUUUUAAAAAUCAUGAUAGGUUUAUCUAUUAAGAAUUUUAUUUAGAUAUUCUACAAAUUAAUUAAUCUCACAAUUCUCAGUAACAUAAUCAAUGUAAACAAUUGUUAUUUUUAAAAAUCAUCAUGCUUUCAUUCACAAACGUGAUAAAUGAAGAGGUUGUAGGAAGGUAAAUAUUAUUAGCGAUAAAUGAAGGGGUGUAGAAGAUGUAGUUACAUAUGAUCAUUAUUUUUUUUUAAAUACGCUUAUUCUUUAAUUGAAUUAAAACUAAAAAUGUGAAUGUUGAACAAAAAUUUUUGACCAAUUAAAUUCUACCACAUCAUCACAACAAAUAUUCAAUAAUUAAAUUUUAUUGGAUUUUGAUAAUUAAGUUUACUCAAUCAAACUCAAUUCAAGUCCAAUAAACAGAUUAGUCAAAGUCCAAACUCAACAAGCAGUUGAAUCCAAGUCCAAUAAAGCAAAUGGGUCCAAGCCCAAGUCAAAACCCAAUAAGGCAAAUAGGUCCAAGCCUAAGCCCAACAAGUAAUGGGUCAAAGCCCACCUAAAGCCCACAAAAUUUCUCUAUAAAUAGAGACAUUUGUCAUUCAUUUGUGGAUGUCUUUGGUUGAAGGAAGAAUUGAAGCACUGGAGAAUUGAAUAUUCAAACUUCUUAUCAACUUCGAGUAAAUACCAUGAAUUCCAUAAGACUGAGUCUCAAAUAUCGCAACUACAACAUCCUAAAGACCGAAGAUCAAAACUUGCAACUACAACAUCCUAAAUAUCGAAUAUCAAGACUUGCAACUACAACAUCCUAAAGACCGAAGAUUAUGAAAUUUUAAGUUUUUAAGUUGUAUUCGAGAGAUGGCAUCAAAUGAGUAAAUAUUAGAGAUUGUAUCGAGAGAAUACAUCAAAUGAGUAAAUACUAUAGAUUGUAUUAAGAGAAAACAUAAAAUGAGUAAGUACUAUAGAUUGUAUUAAGAGAAAACAUCAAAUGAGUAAAUACCAUAGAUUGUAUUGAGAGAAAGCAUCAAAUGAGUAAAUACCAUAAAUUGUAUUGAGAGAAAGCAUCAAAUGAGUAAAUACUAUAAAUUGUAUUGAGAGAAAGCAUCAAAUGAAUAAAUACUAGAGAUUGUAUUGAAAGAAAACAUUAAAUGAGUAAAUACUAUAGAUUGUAUUGAGAGAAAGCAUGUAAAUACCAGAGAUUGUAUUGAGAGAAAGCAUGUAAAUACCAGAGAUUGUAUUAAGAGAAAGCAUGUAAAUACCAGAGAUUGUAUUGAGAGAAAACAUGUAAAUACCAGAUAUUGUAUUAAGGGAAAACAUCAAACGAGUAAGAGAAAACAUCAAACGAGUAAAUACCAGAGAUUGUAUUGAAAUAAAACAUCAAAUGAGUAAAUAUUAGAGAUUGUAUUCACAAUAAUCAUCAAUAUAACAAAGUUUAAUUUCACCCAAUACACUUCUUCCAAAUCAUAUGUUUAAUUUAAAAAACGAAUCAUUUUUUUUUUUAAAUGAAAUAUUUGACAAACCUUUAAAAAACACUUUAAAUAAAAAUCCAAUAGUUUUUCAAAUGAACGAUUUGGGUAAAAGAUUUGGGCCGAAAGGAAAAUUACGAGGCAAGACACGUGGACACGUUGCUUGAAUGGCAGUUAUCAAUAUAGACAAGGGGUAUUAUAGUAAAUCAACUAUUUCCUUCGCCAAUGAAACCGCCGACUCCACCGUUCCUCCAACUAUAAAGCCCUUCCUCCGAUUUCCCUCCCCGGUAUUUAUGACUGCUUCUCCCUGAAGCCAACAAAUUUCGCUCUCAAAUUUCACCGACGAAGAGAUUGGAAGUUCUUCAUACAAAAUGCGAGGCCACGAUUGGAUCAAUACGGUUCUUCCUGAUGAGUUGAUCGUUGAGAUCUUCCGGUGCCUUGACUCGAAGCUUAGUCGCGAUGCUUGUUCUCUCGUUUGCCGGCGUUGGCUCAAGCUCGAGCGCCUCAGCCGGACCACCCUACGAAUCGGUGCAACCGGUAGUCCCGACCUCUUUGUUCAGCUCCUUGCUCGCCGUUUUGUCAAUGUCAGAAAUGUCCACAUUGACGAGCGAUUGGCCAUUUCUUUUUCCCUUCAUCCAGUAAGGAAUCAACGUUCACUUCAAUUCUCCCCUUGAAAUACAUUUAGGUUUUCGGAUGAUGCUUUUUUUUCUUUUUUUUUUUUAGUUUUGAUGUUUUCACCAAUGGAAUUUGCGUGUUGAUUUGAUUUUAUGAUUGUAUUGUGUGCAAUUGAAAACUUUGAUUCUCGUAUCAAGCACUCUGGAGACUGAACUAGAAUAAUAAUAAUACAUUUUGUGAAUUUAGGUCAGAGGAUAAGGAGAAAGUAAUCGGCAGAAUGGUUCAAUUUUACACAGAGUGAUUGUACGCGUUGUAUUUAGGUCAUUAUGUGAAGUUAUACUAGCGCUCAAGAAACAGUUUUAUUCAGGGAGGUGAAAUGAUUUUUAAGUUGUGUGCAACUUCAAAAUUUAAUAGCUACUCGAAUGAAAUUACCCUUGCUUGUUUAAGUUGCUAUCUUCCAGAUGUAUAGCUUGGCGUGACAUGUUCUACUUUUUGGGUACUAAUUAUUGUUGCGGCAAAGAAUCGUUUUGUUUGAGUUCUGUUUGAUGUAUUGAUUAGUUUCUUCUUCUUUUCUGGUUGUUGUUGUUAUCACCUUUUUUUAAAAAAAUCUCGAGGAGAGGGUAUUAAUUUCACUGCCCGUCCGAGUUGAAGAUUUAAUUUAAUGAAAUUAAUAAAUCAAGGAUCAAAUUCAACCAAAGCAUCACAAAGAUUUUUGAGAGUUUUAUUCGAAAUUUUUAUGCAGAGAAGAAGACGUCGCAAAGAAGCCACGCGUUUGCCAUACCAUGGAGCUGAUAAUACUGGGGCUGAAGGUGUGUUGGAUUCUUCUUGUCUGUCAGAUGCUGGGCUAAUUGCUCUCUCCGUAGGUUUUCCAAACCUCGAGAAACUAAGCUUAAUUUGGUGCUCUAAUAUUUCAAGUCACGGUUUGACAUCCCUAGCUGAGAAGUGUAGAUUUUUGAAGUCACUGGAGCUACAGGUAAUUCUUAAUUUACGAAUAAGGAACACAGUGGAACGUCAAUUUUAAUAGAAAUGAUACCUUGUGAUACAUUUAAAGAUCAUUUUCUCAUUUAAAAGCUCAUAUAUAAUUGAGACUCAUGUCCCUAGUUUGUUACUGUUGCAAAAAUCUACUGUGCUCGCCAACUAUCUUUUUGAAAUUCAUGCAUGGUAGUAGGCGUGCCUUGUGCUUUUCCUUCUCUUUUUACCUUAUUGUUUUGCUUAACUAUCAUGUCCGUGCAGGGUGACACCUAAUCAUUUGGGGACAACAAAGAGAUAGGUAAUUAAUAUCAUAGGUAGAAAGGUGGCCAUCACGAUCUUACUUGAACAGGAUCUGUUCCAUGGAUUGUACAAUUAUGUCAUUGUGUUCUAAGGUAGGAAGGUGGCUAUCUUGGUUUGGGAUGUGCCCUUGCAUUGUGUCAUUUAGAGUUUUAGACAUCCAAAUGGCUUCAGAAAAGGCAGAUGGCACAACCUGCCUAUAUAUGAUCUUCACUUGUUCAAGUUCUGCCAAUUAUAGAAUCUGUUCUCUUAUGUGGUUAAUAGCUUUUAAUUCUAGUAGGAUAGCUGUGUAGCCAAUGUAUGAGUCUGGCUUUAGACUGAAAUCUUGUAAUGAAAUGGGUUUUAUUCAUCUGGAGUUGCAGCUGAAGUCUAGCUUUUCUGAAUCGGAAUUUAUUUUAAGACUUCCUGUUUAGAUGCUUCUAUCGAUUAUAAUCGUGGUUUCCCCAAUGUGUUUCACCUAUGCUUCUUUAUCUCAAGAUUGGUUACUAUGAGUCGAUGUCCUUUCUGAGAUGUACUUAUUUAACUCUGAUAUAGGGCUGCUAUGUUGGGGACCAAGGUGUAGCUGCAGUUGGGGAAUUCUGUAAACAACUUGAAGAUGUAAAUCUACGUUUUUGCGAAGGAUUGACUGAUGCCGGUUUGGUUGCAUUAGCCCGUGGUUCUGGGAAAUCAUUGAAAGCAUUUGGUAUUGCAGCUUGUACCAAAAUAACGGACGUCUCAUUAGAAUCUGUGGGUGUGCACUGCAAAUACCUUGAGGUGUUGUCGCUUGAUUCAGAAGUUAUCCACAACAAAGGGGUGCUUUCUGUAGCUCAAGGCUGCCCGCAUCUGAAAGUUUUGAAGCUACAGUGUACAAAUGUCACGGAUGAAGCUUUGGUAGCUGUAGGCUCCUUAUGUCCUUCUCUAGAGUUGUUGGCUUUAUACAGCUUCCAGGAAUUUACCGACAAGUAAGAUUCUUUUAAAUAGAAAAAUAGGAACUCAUUCUCUCCCUCAACAUGGAGACCUCAUUUUUGUGAUAAUUAAACCUUCUUUUGAGCUGUUAAAUUUGAAGUCAAGGGAAUUUGUCUUUUGGGAUUUAUCUCCUUGAUUUAACAUAGGGAUAUACAUACAGCAUGACUUCAUCGAGAACGGAACACUAUAUCUGAUAUUUUUGUCAAAAUUAAAUGUGUAUUAAUGGUUGACAGUACUAGCAUCAGGAAGAAUCUUGAUCUUCACAUUUUUCAUUUAUUUACUCUCCCACAUUCUUUUAAUGAUGAUUCAGGGGUUUACGUGCCAUUGGAGUAGGCUGCAAGAAGUUAAAAAAUCUCACUCUAAGUGAUUGCUAUUUCCUGAGCGAUAUGGGCUUGGAAGCUGUUGCAGCUGGUUGUAAAGGACUAACACAUCUUGAAGUGAACGGCUGCCACAACAUUGGGACCAUGGGACUUGAAUCCAUCGCAAAAUCUUGCCCGUAUUGUUUCUUUACAAUUCCUUUGGACAGUCUUUUUAGAGUAUUCAAAUGUUUCUAGAUUUAUUAUCUGCAAUUCUUGCUGGCUUCCUUGCUGUGGGAUUUCUUGUAGAGCUAUUCUUGUUCUUGGCAAUUGUUUGUAUGGGUCAUUACGGGUCACUUCCAUUUAAUCACAGUGAUUUUUUCCACUGUUGAUUAUCUCAUUUUUAUUGUUUUAUUUUGAAUCUCUUCAUUGUUCCUUUUUUUCAGCCAACUCACUGAAUUGGCUUUGCUGUACUGCCAAAAGAUUGUUAACUCUGGUCUUCUCGGAGUUGGUCAAAGCUGCAAGUUCUUACAAGCGCUUCACUUGGUAGAUUGCGCAAAAAUUGGAGAUGAAGCGAUAUGUGGCAUAGCCAAGGGAUGCAGAAAUUUGAAGAAACUCCAUAUUCGUCGAUGUUAUGAGGUCUCUUUCUCUCUCUCCCCUCUUUUUUUGUGACUUCACAUUCAUCAUUGUUAUCCGUUAUAAUUUUUGUUUUGUUAAAAAAUUAUAUUUUUGUUUGAUUGUUGUUAUGUUGUUCGUUGCAUCUUUGGGUUGAGUUUUCAGCAGGAUGGCUAACCAAGUUUAUUAAUUUUCAAAAAGAAGUGAAGAACAACAAUUUCAUCUUCAUAUUGUUUGAGUGAUACUUUGCAAAUUUGGUGUUCCCAUCAGUGAACUGAAAAAUUUUCGACAAUUUUAUCUAUGGAUAUUAAUGUUGACUGCCAACAUUAACUUUCCUUUACUGUAGUAUUUGAUCUUCUUCCAUAUUUGUAUCUGUCUAGUACUUUACGAAUACUAUGUGUAGAAAGCAUCAGACCCUCACUUGGUAAAACAAGUUGUAUGUGGCUUGGAUUUAUCAAUCUACCCUGCCUCAAAUAUUGACAUUCAAGUGGGAAGGAAGGGAACUAACUAUUAAUCAAGUUAUUUCUUUAUAUACUAGGUUGGGAAUGCAGGAAUCAUUGCUAUUGGCGAGAAUUGCAAAUUCCUCACAGAUUUGAGCGUCAGAUUUUGUGAUAGGUACAAUUUUUUAAUCUCAGAAAACUUUUCUUUUUGUCUUAAUCCUUAUGAUUUUAACUUUUAGGGUUGGUGAUGAGGCACUUAUUGCCAUUGGUAAGGGUUGUUCCCUUCAUCAGCUGAACGUUAGUGGGUGCCAUCGUAUUGGUGACGAGGGAAUUGCAGCCAUCGCUAGAGGUUGUCCCCAGUUGAGUUACUUGGAUGUAAGCGUUCUUGAGGUAUGCCCCUUGCUUCUCUUUGAAUGCCAGUUUGAAAUAAAUAUCUAGGGGACUAUAAACACCUUAAACUUAAAAUCAUUUUUAAGCACAGGCCUCUUUCAUUUGAUGUUACCAAGUAAUGCAUUGGUAUAUACAUUUGUAAGUUCUCCUUUCAUCCUUGUUCCUGAACUAAAGCUUCACAAUUGCUAGAAUUACAAUUAUACACACAUUAAUUCCAUUUAAGUGUUACUACAAGAAAAUUUCCCUGGACGCUGCACCACAAUGCAUUUAUCAACUUGGAAAUAAGUGACCAUAUUGUAAUUUGUCCAAUCCCUAUACACCAUUAUAUGGUCAAAAUUCAUCCAAUUAGUUUAUCACUAAAAUUAGAUCUUUUAUCCCAACAUUUUUAAUGUUAUUGGACAGAACUUGGGUGAUAUGGCAAUGGCUGAGUUAGGCGAAGGCUGCCCAUUGCUCAAGGAUGUGGUAUUGUCUCACUGUCACCAAAUAACUGAUGCGGGUGUAAUGCAUCUAGUGAAGUGGUGCACCAUGCUCGAAUCCUGUCACAUGGUCUACUGUCCAGGUAUUUCUGCAGCUGGAGUUGCCACUGUCGUUUCUAGCUGCCCCAGCAUAAAGAAAAUUCUCAUUGAGAAAUGGAAGGUGAGUGAGAGAACAAAGCGACGUGCUGGUUCAGUUAUUUCAUACCUUUGCGUGGAUCUCUAGAACUUAUUCUCGUGCUGGUGACACCUAAUUUCAGCAAAUCGAUUUGAAUUUGUGAUGGUUUUACUUUUCAGUUGGCCUUUGAGGUUAUUUUGUGCUGUAUGUUCAGUUGUAGUUCUUAAAUAAGAAGAGGAACAUGCUUUUGUCAAAAGAGAAAUAUUGACAGAGCUUGAUUAAACCUCGUUGAUAAUAUUUGUAUAGAGGAGCAUCAGCCUAAUUAAGGGACAAUUCUGAUGUGAAUUUAAGAAAAAUCCGGCAGUUUAGCGAGAAUGUCCCGUUGGGGUGAUUUGAACCCAAUUGAGGCCGAGAAGAGCUCAGAGUAAGCUUCAAGUAGGUGGUCUUGACUUUGUAGUAACAAACUAAUUUAUAUAAUUGUAACAAAGUAAGUUCUUUUAGCCCAGGGGAAAUCUUAUUAUUAUUAUUUUUAUCAUCUAUUAUAAUUGUUCCACGAGUAUGUUUAACCUUUGCUCUUUGUUUCAAAUAAAUAUCCUAAUUGAGACUUUCUUUUUUGUUUAACACACUGUUUGCAACAUAAAUGUGUAAGAAUGGAUUCCUGUUGCCAUGGUUGUGUGCUCUUGGAUGACCGAGUCCACAUAUUUUCUGCAUUGUAUGGUUUCAAAAAUCAUUAUCGAUACUCCUUUAGGUGCCCCGAGGCUUUGGUGCGUUUGCAUCAUCUUGUACCAUUUUCUCAGAUUGUCAGGUCCUGACUAACAUGGUUAAUUGCUUCUAGGACAUAUCUCCUGAUAUCCAUGAUUUGAUUUUUGAAAUUUGGGAUCCGACUACAUCUUUUACUCAAUUUUCUUGGUAUCUCGUGGUUCUUAUGGUAUUUAUCUAUACUAAAUUAGCAAGUAAAAUUUGCUCUUUUAGUCAUGACAACUAAAUCAACGUCUAGAAAAAAUGUUCUUAAGAGGAAAAUAAAUUUAAAAGCACGGAAGGGGUAGUUUUAAACCUAGCAUUUGAAACUAAUUACAAAAUCUAUCUGAUGUUUUUUUAGUUUGUAAAUAAUUUCAAUAUAUAUUUUUUUAUUUUGAGAAUUUCUUGAAAAUUAUUUGUAAGAAUUUUCUACCCUUGUUAUUAUAAUUAAUGAGAUUCUAGUUUGAUGGAUUAUUUUUUCUCUCUUGGAACCGGGUUGCAAUUUUUAAUGUUAAUCUAUUUUCUACAUAUAUACAAAUUAAACUAUUCAAGUCGAGUUUAUUUCUUAAACUAAGAAAAUUGAUGAAUUUUUUGGAGAAAUUUAGUAUUGUGGUAUAGUUCUUUCUCAAGGUUGUUCUUAAUUUUAGAAAGUUAGGAAACUAUAUAUUCUUUCUUAUGUUUCUUCAACGUUGAACAAAAUGUAGGGAGCUAUACACUUAAGUUUUUAACCUUAGAAAGUUGUGUAGUUGAGAUCAAUCACACUUCUAGUCUUUAGAAUCAAAUGAAGUUUUAAUUUUCAAGGUCUUUCAUCUUUCAAGGGCUUCAUAGCAAUUUUCAUGUUCUCAAUUUUGGUAUUUAUUUUAUUUAUAGAGAUUUCAAAUGGGCUGUAUACGAUCGUUUUCUUAAGCAAAACAUUUAUCUAAUUUAUGUUUUCAGAUCUGAUUAGCCUUCGAAAGCAAUCUAAGCUUAAUCACAGUAGAAGCUGAUAAGCUCAUAACAAAUUUUCAGAUUGAAGAUACAUGAGCUUCUACGUUGUGGCUAAGUUUCUCACCCAAACAAUUUUCUUAAAAUUUUUAUGCUCUAAAAAUAUUUCUUCAAAUUCGGAAUUUCCUUUUAAAUUUUAAUUUGGAGUUGUUUUUCUUUUAUCCCUCCCGGGUCUUACAAAAACGUUUUGACCCAAAAGAAUUACUGAAUUUCCCAUUUUCCAAUACACAGCACAGCUUCCCAGUCACCUCCGUCCAUUCUUCUAACCGGUAGUUAUUGAGCUUGAGCAUCCGUCGCGGAGAAGAAGCUAUGCCUGAUGGUUGCGGCAUCAGAGCCAUUUGGAUCUUCAGCAACUUCGACGCUGUUAUUUUCUCCAGGUUCUCUCUUCCUCAUCUGGUUUUCCUCGACCGCAUGAACUAGAAUCGAUGUUCUUUAGAAUUUUCUUUCUUUUACUUUCAUUUUUAAUUUCUUUAGCUUUGCAAUUGAAUCGCUCUAUUGUUUUUUGUCAUUUUUGAAUUCGUUCGUUCGUUUGUUUUCUUUUCGGAUUAUCGAUGCUUUUUUGUACAUCGAUGAAGAAUUACUUCCUUAGCUUUUAAUUUUGAUGUUUCUGGUGCAAUAAUGCUGGUUUCUUCAUAAUUCAGUAGCCUAAUGUUCCGGUUUCAUAUUUAUUUGAUUAUCUAAUUCCUUCUUCUAUUGGCGUUUCUUUACAGGAGGUUUCCAGUGGUAGAGAGGCGGUGGCGAACUGCAUGCAAGAUCGAGAAUGAUAGAUGUAAUUCUGACGACAUCGCAUCUGACGUGUCUCCGGUACUUCCUAAUGAUUCGGAGUUAGCUGCUGCAUUUGUUGAGAGAAAGAAGAGGUUAGUUGAGAUUAUUUUCAGUUUUCUUGUUAGAAAACUCGUUAGGAAGUUAAUUUGUUCUUUUAUUUCUACGAAGUCGAUGGCCUAGUUGUAGUCUAAUGUACUAGAUUUUGGUGUCGUUUUUGUGAUGUAUGUCAAAUGAAAUAUCAAUCUCUCGCAAAUCUUUGUGAUCAUUUGGUGUUUGGUGUGAUCUUAGUCUAAACACAACUUUGCUAAAUUUAUAUCAAUCUAACACAGAGUAGAUUUUCUGGUGUAACUGGUUUCAGAAUGUACUAAAUACGAGCCGCUUUCAUCACUAAGUGUGUUGUGUAAUAUUUUUCUCACUGGUCUUUGUUAGCACAUAUUGUAAUGUCAAUCUAUCACUUGUAGUUGAUUUGCUGGCACCACUGGUUUCAGGAUGUAGUUGUACAAUUCUUUGUUAUCAUUAAGUGUGUGGCGUGAUCUUCUUCUCACAAGUUACAUGUCUUUAUCAUCUUGUAAUGCCAUAUCACUAGCAGUAGAUUUACUGGUGCUGAUGGUUUCAUGACUUAGUAAAUGCCAAUCUUUGUCAUCAUUGAGUGUGCAGUUUGAUCUUAUUCGCACAAAGUACUCUGUUGUUGCUUUUGAUGAAGGCUAACUAUGAUACAAAUUAAUGGAAAUAUACUGUUAUAAGUUGUUAUUUCCUGCAAAGUUCGGCACAAAAGGAUUAAUGGUCGUAAAAAGUUCUUGAGUAUUGAUGCUCACAUUUUAUGAGUGCUUUCUAUUCCUUUCAUCCUUCUCUCCCUUCAUUGCUAUCAAUUUUCCAUCUUUGUACAGAGAGGGAUCUGCUUGUGGGUUUGGUAUUCGUGUUAUUCAGUCAUAUGAGGGAAGUGAUUCUUGGGUUGAUGACCCUAUUACACGCCAUAUCAUUGGACUUCAUGUGAAGAAAGAAGAAGAGAGUAGUAUCUUUCUAUGGCCCCUAAUAUUGAACAUAAAGAGCCAUUAUUCCAUUCUUGUAUUGCCCUUAGUUGAACCACAGCACAUAAAACAUUAUGCAAGUUUGUGCAAAAGAUCUGAUUGUGGAAGUGCUAUUGGAGCAGAAAGUUCCUUAUCCUCCCUCCUGCUUGAUCUUCCUUCCAUCACAGGGUAAUGUAAGUUAUUUGCUCUAUUAUAUUAGGAGUAGAAUACCAUCUUCAUUAUUUCGAAGGCCCUGAAGUAGACGAGUUUUAUAAUUUUUCUGCAGGGCAUUCAUGGUUGCACUUGCUAUUGGUGAUGUAAUCACUGGUGAUGCUGUUGAACCGGAUGUCCUCGUCAGUGCAUCUCCAUCUGUGGGAGGUUUAUUGGAUUCAUUAACAGGUAGCAUGGGAAUAUCAGGAAUCUCUGCUAGGGCAAAACCUGUAGCUUCUCCCAGCUCAUCUGUCAAUCCUUCUACCAAUACUGUGGCAGGAGCUCUUAAUUCAGAUGCCCCUAGGCCUUUGGAUAAAGAUGCACUUAGAUCUUUCAUAAGCAGUUCAAUGCCCUUUGGUUGGUAUUUGGUACUACUCUAUAUCGCUUUUUCAAAAUUUAUUACUUUGCUCGUGCAGGUUCAUGUAUCUGACUGGCCUCUUUUUUUUCUUUUCUUUUUUUGGUGUUAAUUAUAUGCUAGGAACACCCUUGGAUCUCAGCUAUACCAAUAUAUCUUCUAUCAAAGUAAAUGGUUUUUCCUCAUCAGAUCCGCCUCCUGCUGAUGUUAAACAACCAGCAUGGAAGCCAUAUCUGUAUAAAGGGAAGCAGAGAGUGAUACUUACAAUUCAUGAGAUCAUUAAUGCAGCUAUGUAUGACAGGGAUGAGAUUCCAGAUAAAAUAUCAGUUUCUGGUCAAAUAAAUUGUCGAGCUGAAUUAGAAGGGUUGCCUGAUGUUUCCUUCCCCUUAGCAGGGUCAAAUAAGGCUCGCAUUGAGGGCUUAUCAUUCCAUCCUUGUGCCCAAGUUCCUGAACAUGGUAUAGAUAAGCAAGCUGUGAUGUUUUCUCCCCCACUUGGUAAUUUUGUUUUAAUGCGUUAUCAGGCGGUAUGUGCUGCUGGGCCUCCUGUUAAAGGAUUUUAUCAAUUAUCCAUGGUCUCUGAGGAUAAAGGUGCUUUUUUGUUCAAGUUGUGUUUGAUGGAAGGUUAUAAAGCUCCUCUGUGUAUGGAGUUCUGUACUGUGACUAUGCCUUUCCCUAGAAGAAGGAUCGUAUCUUUCGAUGGAACUCCUUCAAUUGGAACAGUUUCCACUACUGAACAUUCAGUCGAGUGGAAAAUUUUAGCAAGUGGACGAGGGCUCUUGGGAAAAAGUAUUGAGGCAACUUUUCCUGGAACAAUUAGGUUUGCACCCUGGCAAAUCCAAAGAUUGCAUUCUUCAAGUCCUGUCACUCCUAGUGUAGAAGAGGUAGAUAGUGAUGUCGAGGCUGAAACUGCAAGCAAUGUGGUCAACAUUGAGGAAUUUUUAAUGGAAAAAAUGAACAAGGAUCUUCCUCCAGUCGAACUAGAGGAGCCAUUUUGCUGGCAGGCUUACAAUUAUGCCAAGGUAAACUCUUUUAUACUAUUGAGAAUUAUAACAUUUCUUUGCUGAAAGUUUGAAGUUAGUUCUUUUUUUUCUAAACAGAGUUCGAAGUUAAAUCUUAUCAUAAAGUAACCAUGCUUGCAUUCUCCUGUUACGUUGAAUGACGUUGUGUUUCCUAUCAUUAUCAUUUACUUUGGAAUCCAUGGCAUGAAACCUUCUGCAUCUUGUUCUUGCCUUUAGAUCAUAUUAAAAAUUCAAGGCAUCAGAAAAUGAUUUUUAUAUAAUUAUCUUCUUGUGUAUAAGUGAAAUGUCCAACCAAUCUGUGCUUGUCUGAUGGUAUGUUGGAAUUUUUUGUCUACCUACAUGGAAAUUCUGCUGAGAAGGAAGGUGCUCUUUUUCUUUUGUUAUUUCUCAUGUGUUUAAAGGCAAUGCAUGUUCCAUAACCUAUUUGUAGGAUUAAUGAUGGGUUGGCUGGUUCCGAUUUGAAAUAUAGUUUAUAGCAGGUUGUCUGAAACACUUUUUCUGUUGAUUCUGAUCUCAGGUAUCGUUCAAGAUUUUAGGGGCAUCGUUAUCAGGAAUAUCUGUUGAUCCUAAAUCUGUGAGUUUCUGAUCCCGCUUUGCAAAUCUCAUUCUGGUUUAUUAAGCUAGGCCACAUGUAGUUCCAGCACUCGUGUGAUGGAUCAGACUGUUGAAUGCAUGUAUCUACCAAUACGUAUAUAUGUUAAACUAGUAUGAUUUUAGAUGUAGGUUGACGCACAUGGAGUUGUUUUAGGGUGCAUAAAGCUUGCUUCCCAGAUUUAUUCCACCCGUUCUUAAGUACAUUUUCAGCAUUUUCUGAUAGCCACAUCACAUGUUUAUAUUUGUUGAAUCUCUAUUCAUUUUUGUUCGUGGCAUUCUAAUUCAACUACACCAUAAGGUUACCAAACAACGGAAGUACAGUUACUUUUCUCCUCAACGUUCUCUGGUUGUGGUGACAAAAAUUUUCUGCAAUUAUUUGCUGAGUUUUAUUUUGCUUGGUUGGAGUCCUUUUCUGUAGGGUUACUACUGCUUGUGGGCCUUGUUUCUUUUAUAUGCCCUUUAUUCUUCGUUUUUUCUUAAUCAGUGCUGGUCUUCUAUAAAAAUAGAAGGAAAAAAAACUUUCCUCCCCUUAGAUUUAGUUGAGUUGUAAAAUGGUUUUUUCUUCAUCUUCAAUCUUCAAUCUUCAAUCUUCAAUCUUCCUCCUGUUACGACUCUUAUAAUUUCUUGACAUCCAUUUUGCCUCUCCAAUAAUGCCCCCAAUAUUUACUCUUGAACGAAGAUCUUCCCCUUUUUUGCACACGAAUUAGCUUAUUUUCUGUUUGUCUUUUAUACCAUAUGGAACUGAAAAUAAUAUAUGUUCCUAAACUCUUCAAAUUUUUCUGCUCGUUCAGGUUAGCAUUUAUCCAGCUGUUAAAGCUCCAGUUGAAUUUUCAACCCAGGUUUGUAAUUUUACCAUGGCGGGCUUUUGUUUUCUUUUUGUUUUCGUUUUCAUAUGGCAAUAUAAUAAUAAUAAUAAUAUUAAAAAAAAAGAAAAAAGAAAACCCGGAAUACCUUCUUUUCUCUGUUCUACAACUCAACGUAUAAGCUUCCAUCACACAGCACUUUAAACGUGCAAAGCUAAAUUUUUUUCCCCUAUAAUGAAAUGAAAAGCACUUCUUGUCUGUUUGCUAUAAUAUUGUCGGGUUCCUGUUUAUUAAGUUUGUAAAAACAUUUGUUAACCUAUUCAUUUAAUUCUUGAAAUGCACAGGUUACCUCAGGGGAUUACAUUUUGUGGAACACCUUGGAUAAGUGCCCGUCUGUUGCCUCAGAAACAAUAUAGCUGGUACAUGCCACUCUAUUACACAGUUCUAGUGAUUUUAGGUGGCGACCAGUCUAUUUCGGUUCCGUUAUUUCUCCACUUUACUGUUACGAAAAUCUUCCAUGUUUGUGCUAAUAGGGACAUGUAUAUUCUUGUUGAAUUACACCAUUUGUUAUUUGUCACACCAGUCAAUGAACAAUUCCCCGCAGCAGAAUUCUGUGGGUAUAUCUUUCCGGUGAGCAGAAUUUUGCACUCAUCACUUUGUAGUCUUUGUUACACAAUUCUCGUUUGCACUUUAUUUAAAAUUUAUUUCACCGAAACGUGCACAAUGUAAUUAGGGGGUCCAAAUAGAUGUCUUGCUUUGUUGAAGGCCCUGGGCUUUUGACUUUUGAGAUGCAUACUAGAAUGGUUUUAGCAUUAGUGCACCAAUAUGAGUUCUAGAAAACACCGAUUCUUGCGUUAGGUUACUAUUCAUUUUUGUGGUAUUCUGAAUUGUUAUUGCAUUCUCUUAUCUAUCUUGAUAGAAAAAUUUAUGCUCUUGAAAAAGAGAUGACCCAAUUCAUCGUCGGAGUUGGGCUGAAAGAGCUGAUUCCAAUCGGUCAGUGUUUGAAAUUAAGUAUAGUUGCAACUUUAGUAAUUAAAUUCAAAUUAAUAAGUAUAUAGUACAAUUUUAAAAAAUUUAUAAAUAUAACAAAAUUUGUCAAAAUCUAUCAAUAAUAUAAGUCUAUCACUGAUAGACAAUGUUACAAAUAUUGUUUCAUCACUGACAUGCUAUAUGAAGUUUAUCAGCGAUACAAGUCUAUCGGUAUAAUUUUGCUAUAUUUGUAAUUUAUAGUUUUACUAUAUUUGUAAUUUUUUUAAAAUUUUGCUAUAUCUUUAAUUAUUAUUGUUAAAAUAGUCCUCCAUUCCAAUGAGAAAGGCAAAAUUACUACUUUACCCCAAUUUAUUUAUAGGUUUUUAAAUUCUACAACAAAUCCAUUUGUCAUUUGUCAUUUUUUUUAAUAAGAAAUGAUAUUGGCUAUUAGGCGUUCUCUUUUUCUUUUAAAAAUAUGAUGGGAAAUUUAUUUAAAAAGAAAAGAAAGAAGAUAGAUUGUAUGAUUUGGGUCAUGUCAUGCACAUAAGCUAAUGAUUACAUAAGAACAUCAAAAUCAUUGUGCUGAAUAUUUGUUUAUGUUAAUUGAUUUAAUUGUUAAUUUGUUGAUUUGAAGGUGCAGCUGCUUGUACCGAUCUCAUUAUCAGUGCAUGCAGAGGAACUUUUUGGUACUCUCUAAUUGCACUUGUCUGCCUGGAUGGUCACCACACAAUCAGCCUAUCCGCCUUUCGUAAGGUACUCCUUAGUACCCUCCAUAUCCUCUCUAUCAAAUCCUACCUUACACCUCCCUAGAGAGAGAGACGUUCUUAUAUCAUACAAUUAUUAAAAAAGAAAAAAAUGGUUUUCAAGUGUCAAAAUGUUCAUUUUUAGUCUCAAAGCUUUGAAUUUUUGGUUUCAAUUUAGUUAGGUUUUAAAAUUUUGCAAUUUUGUCACCAGUUUUUAUUUUAGAUUCACGAAUUUUUGGGACAUUUUUUUAAAAUAUCAAAAUAAAUUAAAAUAUUUACAAGUUAUAGACAAAUUUUGGAUUCCGUCAUUUUCUAUCACAAUAACAUGUUCUAUCAAUAUGCUAAUUUUCUAUAACCAAUUUAAUAUAGGUUAUAAAUGUUUUGUAAAAUUUACUAUUUUUAAAGGUUCUUCUAAAUUUUUUCAUUAAAUGUGUACGGUUUGUAUUUCAUUUUAAGAUCUAUCAGUUAAUUUAAAUAAAAGGUUGACACAAAAUUGAAAAUAAACUUACAGAUUAGAGAUAAAAAAAAAAACUUACUUUUCUAGGAAGUAUAUGAAGUUCUAUGAAAAAAUGUCGAUUUAAGUUUGGAAGGAAAAUCGAUCUAAAUCAACUUUUAAAAAAAGAUCUAAAUUAAAACAUUACCAUGAUUAAAUGCAUUUGUUUUUAUUUUAAUAAAAAAAAUGAUUUCAAGUUUAAGUGUUGUUUUGGUCCUGCACUUUCAUAGUUCUUUAUGGUUCCCAAACUUUCAAAUGAUAUGUUCCAGUGUUUGUAUAUUGUAUAAAAACCAUUCUUAUCCUUUAAUAAGUAUUAUUUUGUUAAUCAUUUUAACUAAAAUGUAAUGUGCUUUGUGUAAAGUAAGUAUAGAUUUAUUUUUAGUUUGUAAUGAUUGUUUUGGGAACCAAUUUAAAUUGUGUUAAUUGGAAUAAAAUACCUAUGCAAGUUCAGGCCAAAAUUUCCUUUGAACUUUUUUUUUCUAUCUAUGAUUAAUGAUAAAUAUAUAUAUAUAUAUAUAUAUAUAUAUAUCUGCAAGUACCCAAUAACAGUUUAAAGAUAUUUUUAAAGAAUGGUAGUAAUAUCAAAAUCUAUUGAUAAUAAAUUUAGCUAACAGAAAUCUACAGGUGAUGUUCUUUUUUUUUAAAAAAAUAUAUUUACUGAUAUCUUGAGUCUAAUUUCUAUUUUAAAAAGGCACAUUUAUAGUUUUUUGAAAAUUUAAUAUGUUUCAAGAGGAGAGAGAUGGAAUUGAUAGACUUUCUUAUUCUCAAGUUGAGAGGACAGGGAGUAAUCAUUAGCGUUACUCUAAAGAAUCUUAUUUGUUACAUUAAGAACCUAAAAAGAAAAAGGCAUUUUUAGAGUUCCAAGAUGUCGGCAAACGCCACAUUAAAUAUUGAACAACCACGCUUUUCUAUGUUAAAUUUUCAUAGGAAACUGAGAACAAAUCUAAAUUGGGGUUUGAGUUGGGACUUCUUUCAAUAAUGCUUAAACAAAAAAUGGGUGGAUUUUGUACCAAGAGCAAACAUUCUUAAACUCCAUGAGUACCAAAAAUGAAAAAGAACUAUGAUUUAAUAAUUUAAUGAGAUGUAUAAAGAUGGUUAUAAUUUAAACUAUAGUUGGGUUUUUUUUUCUUUUAAAAUAGAAUGCAUAGAGAUAAAUUUAAAUUGAAUGUUGGUUUAUGAUUUAAAUUGAUACAAUUUCUAACUUCAGUGUUAUAACCCUAAAUGAUGUUUGCCCUAAAAAGUAAUUAAACUUUUGUGGAGAAGGGCAGAGGGUUUGGAACAGAGGGAACAUGAUGCCCUCCAUGCUUACAACUCCAUGCCUCACUCUCUCUUUAUAUUAUAAUGUUACUUUCCAUAUGGCUUCUUGUCACAAGACGGGGCGGGGAGAAGCUUCUCUCUUUCUCUCUCUUUCUCUCUCUAGGGCUAUUGUGGGCCUAAUAGGGCUUUGAGAAGCAAUUGGUUUUCCCUUUCGCUCUCUCUCUAUUUCUAAGCCUUUCUGGGUCCACUAAAAUGGGCCCCACAAAACACCACAAAAUGACACCAUCUUUAUGUCAGCAGCUUAGUGAACAGGAUGCUUGAAAGCUUACACUAAUCUAACAAUUGUUUCACUAAAAAUUUUGAGGACGAAAAUCAACUAUUGGGUAAUAGUUUCACCCUAUUAGUAAGACUGCUUCUUAGAAAAACCAGAAGAUAAUGUAUCUGAGAAAAAUAGCUGCAAAUUUGUAAGUUUAAGAUUGCAACGUUUAUCGAAGUUUGAGGUCCACUUCAAAUAAAAUAAUGAAACAACACAAUAAGUUUUUGAGAGUAAAGUUUAAGUUCCACAAAUUUGGUAUCUGACUAAGCGCGACAGCUGAGAAUAGGUAGACCUAGCCCUGUUUGUACCGUCCAACAUUUUAAACUUAAUUUAUUAGUGUGUGAAUAAUCUUAUAAUAAAGUAACUUAAUUAGACAGUGAAUAAUGUGGAAGGUUAUAUAUAUAUACAUAUAUAGUGGAUAUAGCAUGGUCCUGAUGAGUAUAAAUAGGUUGGUCCAUGUAUCCUUGGGGUUGAAUGUUCCCAAGCAAAGCAUUCACGUGAAAGGAUUUUGAACCAUAGCCUUACCCUCAUUAUGGGGGAAAGAUUCUCAUCAUCAAUGCAAAAAUGUUCUUUGGCUUUGUAAUCUUUGUCCAUAUUCUACUCUAAUAUCCUUCUUUCAAAUACCCAAUAUACACUGUCGGAUUCCCUCCUUAGUUUUCUGUGGUGUAUUAUAAAGGUGGGAAAACCACCCAUUUCUUUCUCCAAUAGGAGUUCAAGGUGCUACCUGUCAUGAUUAUCAGAUAAAUCUGAGAUCAUGAAAGUAGAAUUUAGAGUGAACAUUUUGUUUUUUUAUUUUGUUAAAACUUUUUUAUUGAACUUUCGGUCUAAUUAGAACUUUAAAUUUUCAAUUUUAUAUUUGACAGUGUUACACAUUUUUAAAGAAAAUAUCGAAUAAGUUGAGAAUACAUAUUAGUAAAGAUAAUAAAAUCUUCAUCUAUGCAACUGUUUUCACUUAGGCUAUAAAUCAAGUGAGAAUGUCAUAAAUGAGAAUUUGAAAUAUAGAUGUUUAAUGGUUGUUAUUAAUUAGUUCAAAUUAUAAGAGUGCGUAACUUAUAAGAACUCAUGAUCUUGGAAAAGGGGUAUUCAUAGAGAUGUUGCAAUUUAAGAAAUAAGCUUAGAAAAGCAAUAUUUUAAGCAAAAAAUAAAUACGAAGGAAACAAAUGCAGUAUAUAAUUAAAACCACAAAAAAAAAAUGAAAUAGAAAACUUGUGUUUUGACUAAAAGAUGUGCAUAAAAUACCAAAUAUGGGUCUUAAAUUUGACUCGCAAGAGAGAUUUUGGUUGGUUAUACGUUAAAAAUAUAUAAAUGAACAUAAGAGAUAGAAAAUCAGUACAUUUUCUUGUUUUCUGGAAGAAUGAAAAAACAGUACAUAUUAAUCAUUGGUUGUAAGAAAAAGGCAGAACGUGAAACUCCAAUAUAUACACACACACACACACACAUACAUGUGUGUGUAUAUAUGUUAAUAGCAAGAAAAUAGGUGAAAUUAGAGAGAGAGAGGGGGGGUCAGGGUGUUGAUGGCCUUACAAAGCCCAAGGGAUAAGGGCCCUUCCCAAAAGUCACACCAAAAUCAUACAUCUUUGCGUGGUGUCAUUGAUUUAGAUUCUCAUUUCUUUAAAAAAAAUUACACAUACCAAACACACACACAUAUAUAAACACAAUUUGGCGUGUUUUGAGAGAAGAGAAUUGCAUGGUUUUCUUAAUUUCGAGAUAGAUUUUGCUAUUUGUUUUUUUCUUUUCUAGGAAGCCUCAAGGUCUUGUGGGUAUAAUAUGCCUUAUAUUUAGAGAGAGAGAGAGAGAGAGCAUUGUAUUAUUGUAUGUUGAAGUUAUAGGGUAAUAUCCUAAAUUUCUAUGUGUUGGGGGGGAGGGAUUAUUGCCAGCUAGAUUAUUCAAUGAUGUGACUACCUCUCUUAAUAAUCAUUAGAUGUCAUGGCCACCCUUUCAAUAUUUCUUCUUUCCAUUAUGCUAAUUCCUAAACUGUUAAGUCAUACUCUAUAUUGUUUUUCUCAGUGUGAGAACACCAACAUUUUAAUAAUACUCAUUUCCAAUGUUUUCUUUUUUCCUUUUACAUUACCCACUAUAAUUUUCAUUAUUUAUCAUACAUUAACAUACAUUUUAAUUUUAUUUACCUUUUCAUAUUUCUAAAUAUACUAUUGGGGAGUUAAAUUGAGAAAUGGAUUUAGGCAUGCAAGAUUGUGGGCACCAAUAAUGUAAAUUAAAAUCUCACACUGAGUUGUGAUAUCUUUGGUUUGCCCUUUCAAAAUCUUUCUCCAUCCAACAAUGUAAUCAUCAUCAACAUACAUCCAUAGCUUCUUGUUUUUGUCGUUUCCCUUCUCCCAUUUAGACUCUCUCUAUCUUUUUUAUAUCACCAAAAUUUAAUUCAUUUUUAGAGAAAUUCUCACAAAUUUAAAAGAAAAAAAAAACAAAUAUAUAUUCAUCUAAAUCUUAUUUAGAAUGUUAGAUAACAAUUUAAAUCACUUGAACCGUAUAUAUAUAUAAUAUAACUCUACUGUUUUAAGCAACAAAACAAAACCAAAGUAUAUCGAAAAUAUUCGUAAGAUAUUAUCAUAAUUCGAAACAUAAAUAUAAGAUCAAGUGACAUUUUCAAAAUACGUCUUUUUAAUCACUCAAAUUAAUUAAAUUCAAUUAUAAUUUUUAUACCAUCAAAAUUGAGUGAGAAGAAUUAAAAACAUGAUUCCGACCGUCAGUUUUGAACAUAAUGUCUCGAAAAACUAAUUUUAGCCCUAAAUCUAGGGCACCGUGGUGUGUGUAUUGACCUAUCUCUAUAAUAUAGUUGUUAGAGGAUUAUAUAUAUAUAUAUAUAUAUAUAUAUAUAUUACCUCAAAUGUGUGUUUAAAUUUGAUAUCAUUUGAUGCAACAAUAUAAUAUAUAUAGUAGAGAUGUAUAGUGUCCCCAUCUUGUAGCACGCCCCCAAUAUCCAAUUCCAAUUAGUACUUAACACAAAUCUAUAUUUUAAUUCGAAACCUUACGGCUUACAAUAUCAAGUAAUUAAAUAUUGACAUGUGAGUUUCUUAAAAGCUCAUUUCCUUAUUGGUCGAUAUCACCCCUAAUUGGAAAAAAAGGGAUAAAAGUGCUUCCUUUUAAGCUUAAGAUGCUACCUACGAUUACGGACACCUUGGGAGAUUUAAUUUUAUGUCUUAUGGGAGAAUUUACAGGGCUAAUAAAUUUCUUUCCAUUGAUGAAUGCUUUUUAAAAUUCAAGAACAUGUCAGAUGACAAAUUAAAAAAAAAAAUCUUUAAACAUUUUAAAAUUUGAGACAAUUGAUAAAACAUUUCGACAUUAUUUUGAAAGUUGAGGAAUCUAUUUGACAACUUUUGAAAGUCGUACAAAGUAAUAAAUAGAAAUUGAAAAGUUUAUGAAAUUAAAGUUGUAACUAAUUUAGUUUGGAAACACAUGAAAUGGUGCUAGCAAGUUUGCAAAUUGCAACCUUAGUCACAAAUGAGCAUGCAUUAUCUAGGCUUUUUAGAUUUUGAUGGGAUCGAUAAACUGUAUCUAAAUUUUGUUAUUUUUACAAAUAAUUUUACAUUAAUUGGAUAUUAAAUAUUUAGUAGGAGAUGAGUAUAUCUCCAAAUUGCAUGCAUGCAUGGAUGUGUUUGAAUUACAUUCUUAAACUUUAAAAGUGUAUAGUAGGGAGGUGUGUAUGUGGGGUGGGUGGGUUGCUGUAGUAGUUAGAAUGGAGGAGUGUUUAAGGCGUGCAAAACCCAAAUCCAUAUAUGGCGGCUAUAGCUAUCACCUUGAACUUUGCUUAAUAAAACGCUGUGUGCCGAUUUGUCGCACACACUAAACCAUACAAACAUAUAGCAUUAACUGUGGGGACGACUUGUCGAAUUGCUAAAAGACAAAACAGAGAGGGCCCUCUCUUCUUCUGUGGGUCCCGCAUAAAGUUUAGCUGUUUCGGACACACGUCGGAUGUGGUCCCCACUUAUGGUGGGUUGUCGGCACAUGCCACAUCCCCUCCCGAUUUGUGGGUCCCUUUUCAUACACUUUUUUUUUUUUUUUUUUUCUUAUAAAAUUUUCACAAACCAAAAUAAAUAACUUUCAUUUUUGGGUGUGCUAUGGGACCCCUUUCCAAAUAAAUAAAUCAAUUUAUAUUAAACAAUUUUUUUUUUUAAAAAAAAAUUGUAUUGGAAGGUAGAUUUGAGAAAAGAAAAGGAUUUUUUGAAUGAAAAGAUUUGGGGUAAAAAGUGAGAGUUUGUGUUUUAAGAUUUAGUGUUUCUUUGGCUUAGACUUUUUAAGAAAAAGAUUGAUAACCAAAAGUAGUUUUUAGUCGUUGACCACUUUUUGAAAGAAAGGAAAAAAGAGGGGAAAACAAUAUUAUUAUAUAUGUUUUUUUUUCCUUAAAAAAAGUUCACUAAAUAUUUCACAUUAUCUAUAUAGGUUAAAAUUAACAUAAUAUGGUUUUUAAGAUAGAUAUUUAAUGUGCAUCAUACAAGCUUUCUUUUAGAUUGAAAAUGAAUCACAAUUAAUUUUAAUUUCAAGUAGAAGUGGUUUGGGGUUGGAGUAAGAAUUUGAGAAGAAGAAAGGGAGUUUAGGGGCAUUUGAGUUUGGUGGGUGCGCAUGCAAGUUCAAAUUUAAAAUAGGUUUGCAAUUCUUUUUUGGGUCAUAAUGGAAGAUGCCACACCCACACCCACACCCCCAUCUCACCUAUUCAUCACUCCAUACACAUUUUUGCAUCAUUCCCCCAAACCUAACCCAAUUUCCCCCAACAAUAAUAUUCUUAAUAUCACUAUUAGUUUUUUUUUUUAUAACAUUUAAUUAAUAUCUCUUUCGAGAAAACAUUGUUGCGUGAGUUUUUGAAUAAUGCAUAACCUUUAUGCUCUUAUACCAUGUUAGAUCGUUAACUUAAAUAAGUUGAUAUGUGAAUCUUACAUUUAGUAUUAUAUCCAUAUAUCUAACCUUGUAUUUUCUCUCAUGUACAUACUAUGAUCCCUCUAUACAUCAUACUCUAUCUCGAUUAAACUUUAAGAAAUGAUCAUUGGUAAAGUGUCUUGUAGCAUAUGUAACCGACAAGAAGUAAGUCAUGAGCCACGCGAAAAACCCAUUUGUUUCUCUUGAAUUCCUUCUCAAUGAUCUCUCUCAGUCAAAGGUCUUUGUAUUUGUAUUCUAUGUCUGUUAUAAAAUCAACCAUCAAAGAUAAACAAUUUUUUCAAAAAAACUAAACAAUAGAUAAUCAAACACAAAAAUUUACAUGGUUCACUAAUAGUGCGCAUGUCAUCUACAUUCACAAUCAGAUGUUCGGUUUCAUAUUACAAUUGACACACUUCUUAGGUCAAAAGGCUUAUUCAAUGCACUCAUCUCCCAAGGUAAAAAACAUCUACAAGGCAACAGUACUCUCAAAGAUUGAUUAUUUAUGGCGUAAAUAUGUUAUAUAUAACAAUAAUUAGGGUAAGAGGGAGAAGAAGGUUGUUUUUAUUUGAAAGGAAGAGUGGUUUUGAUGAUGGUGAAGAGAACCAAAUGAAUUAUUGAUCUAAUCUUUGUUGUGUGCUCUCUCUCUCUCUCUCUCUAUAGUCUUAAAUUAAAAGCUAAGAAUUAAUACGAAAACGAAAUGUGAAGUAUAGUAUCACAUUUUUGACGGCACUCAAUAAUCUUCUUCUAAAAGCUCUUUCUUUUUCUAGUUUUCUUUUUUCUUUUUUCUCUUCCUCAUAUACAUAAUUAAACAUAUUAAUUUCCCAACUUUUUAGAAUCAUUAAACUCAUUGCUUAAUUAAUGAAAAAUCUCCUCACUUUAAUUAAUUAACCCAUCAAUUUUAAUUGUUGCCUUUUACUACUAACCCUUCCUUUUUAACCCUAAAUAUAUCAUGUGUGUGUGUGUGUUUUGACCUAUUGGAUCCUAAUUAAAUAAUGUGAUUGUUUUUAUGUUUCUCCUUUGGUGGAUUUUCUUUACAUAUAUAUAUAAUCAAGAGAGGGGACAUGCAUUUUGAUAAUGUUUUUAGGCACGUCUUGCUUUUCUUCUCUUUUUUUUUUCUUUUUUCUUUUCAAAUUAUUCAUAAAUUUAUAUUAUUUUUGUGACCUUUUUAAUUUACUUUUGUUAGGAAUAGACAAACAUAUGUUGUCCCUCUGAACUUAGGUUCCUUUCAUGGAUUUGUACUGUUCCUUCAUCACCUUGUCUCUCUUCCUCUCUCUCUCUCUCUCUCUCUCUCUUUCUUUCAAAAGGCCAUACACUUAUACUCUAUUUCAUUAUUCAUUCUUCUUUCUUUUGUUCUUUUCCUUUUACUUUAAAUCACACACAUAUAUAUGUACUAAUAAUUAUUUAUGUCUCGUUUCUUAUUUUGGACUCUUGAUUCUCUACUACUACUUGCCUUCUUUAUUUACAUCUUAACAUUUUGUAUCCAUUGCUAGUUUAAGAGUCUACAAUCAAUCCGAACAUGGUUUCAUUGGUAUAUGCAGUGUGUUUAAUAAUCAUGAACUAGGUGUGUUUUGAAAUUGAUUAUAGAAAAAAUCAAUCUAAUACUACUCUUUUAUUUAGGGCAUGUAUCAAAUAAAUAAAUUAGAUCAUGAUUGUAUUAAUUAAAACUAUAAACGAUUAUAUCAAUUUAGAUCGGCAAAUUACAAAUUUUUUUAAAUUCGUCAUGCAUGUCAUGAAUGUCAUCACAUGAGAGAAAAACGAAAAAUGUCAAAUAGAUAUACAACAAAUCCUUUUGAAUAAUUUUGUUGGGUUGAUUUGAGUGAUUCCAAAUGAAAUCAAGUAAAACUAUUUAUAAAUUUAAGUCUAAAUUAAUCCACUAAUAAAAUUCUGUAAAAAUAUAUUCUUAUAUGUAUAGAAAUAACACUUAAAAAGUGUAAAAUCCAAUAUAAAAGACCAAACUUUUAGAAAUUAAAAUAAAAUUUAGGAUAAAUAUCAACUAAUAAUUGUAUAAUUUAAACCAUGAACUCGAAGGUAGUGUUACUAAUAAUUGUAUUAAUUUAAACCUUAAAUUUUAAUAAUAAAGACAUCAAUUUAAACUCGAAAGUUUCAUAUACAUAUGUAUCAAACAAAUCCGUCAACUUUGAUAAGUGUGUCCAAAUAAAACAUAAUAUAGGGUUUAGAUUGACAUAUUUAUAUAGUUUAGAGAAUUUAAAUUGAUGUGUUUUUUAAAGUUAAAAAUUUAAAUUGAUACAAUUGUUAGUUUGAGAUUGAAAUUGAUACAACUCCUAAAGUUCAUAGUUUAAAUUGACGCAAACCCUAAAGUUGAGAGCGGUAUAAAUUGAAAUUUAAUAUUUGAUUUGUUUCUAUUUUAAAUCUUAAUUCAAUUUUAAAUAACACUUUGAUAGAAAAUGUGUUUCCCUCACAUUAUAUAUAUACACACAUAUGGAAAUCUUAAAUUUCAACUUUGUUUUACAACUAGGUGAAAAGUCUCUCUCUCUUAGGGACCAAAAAAAGAGUAGGAAUUAUACAAACUACUUCUAAAAGGCAAAUUUGAUCAUUGUUUUGAGACACAAAAACAUCAAUUAAUCUCUAUUCUAUAACAUUAUAUAUUAUCAAUAAUGUUUGGUGUUUGAACAUCAAUUCUCAUGCAAUUUUAAUAUAUAAACCUAGAUCCAAUUUUCUAGGGCAUUGAUAGAAAAAAGACCGAAUAUAUGUAUAUAUGAUAUUAUCACAUUAAUCAUCACAAAUUUUUCCCCUUCCCACAAGUUGCAACAAUUAAUAAAUUUAAAAUUUUGUAUUCAAAACAAAAAUUAUGGUUAUAUCCAAUAUCAUAACUACACAUCCCACAUUAAAUAAUUACAGUGUAAAUUAGCUGUUGGAUAUUACAAAAACAUGUUUCUGUUGAGAAAUAUAAUUGAGUUUAGUCCAAUUGCCUUUUGAUUAGUGAUUAAUCCAUUUCAAAUUAAUUAAAUUUGGAUUAAUUAAUACUAAUCAAGGAAACUUAAUGGAGUGAUUAGAUUAGUUUACACCCUCCACUUUUGAUCUAAUAUCAAUCAUGUAUAUGAUGGUUUAUGCAUUAUAGAUAUAGAAAGAGAUUAUAUUUUUCUGUUUUUGGAGUUAAUUUUGAAAAAUGAAUCAAAAUAUAAUCAAAUUUUAUAUUUAUUACUCGUAAAUGUACAUAAACUUUUAAUUUAAUAACAUGAAUAGAAGUUUAAUAUUUAUUAAACGUAAAUGUACAUAAACUUCUAAUUUAAUAACAUGAAUAGAAGUUUAAUUAUGUAUAGAAUUUAAAAUUUUAUUAUAUUUGGAUGAUUAUUCUCAAUAAUAGUUUUGUUAUUUACAAUAUUUUUUUCUUAUCAUCAUCUCUUCUAUAUAUAUUUGUUUUCACUUCAUUAUAAUGCUCACAAUGAUUAUAUUCUUUGGUUGCCUCAUCCGCAUGCUCUCUCUAACCCUAAUUCCCAUUAUUCUCUCCACCUAUAAAUUUCCCCUUCUUCUCCCUUCUCACCUUAUAAUUUUCCCUUUUUUCUAUUACAAACUCCAUAUUUCUGAUCAUUUCACACACUUUCGAUUAUGGCCGGUUUCGAAGGGUUCGAAAAGCGAUUAGAACUCCAUUUCUCCGGCGAUGACCCGAUUUUCUUCAACAUGGGGCUCCGCCAGCUUAGCUUUGAUUCCCUACAACAAGUCCUACGUGAAGUCCAAUGCACCGUCGUCUCCGCCGUCGCUAACCAUUACUUUGACGCUUACGUUUUGUCGGAAUCAAGCCUUUUCGUUUACCCAACUAAAAUCAUCAUCAAAACCUGUGGGACUACUCAACUACUCAAAUCCAUCCCUCCAUUAAUCCACCACGCCCUUAAUCUCCACCUAACACUUGUCUCUUGUCGUUACACUCGCGGUAACUUUAUCUUCCCUCUCUCUCAGCCUUUCCCUCACACUUCCUUCCACGAAGAAGUCGUUUACUUAGAAAACUCCCUCCCUAACCACCUCUGUUUCCGUAAGGCCUCCGUUAUGCCUUCCAAUCUUUUGCCUUCACAUGCUUGGCACGUCUUCUCUGCUUGUGAUGAAACUCGUUUGGUUCAUUUUGAUUCCGGGUUUUACACGGUUGAGGUUUGUAUGACCGACCUUGAUCGCAGUUUGGCUAAGAAGUUUUUCCGACGUCCUGGUGAUGGAAAAUCCGCCGAUGCUGCUGGUAAAGAGAUGACCGAGAUUUCUGGUAUUAAUAAGAUUAAUCCCAAUGCUCUUGUUUGUGAUUUUGCUUUUGAUCCUUGUGGUUAUUCCAUGAAUGGAAUCGACGGUGAUCGAUAUUCCACCAUCCAUGUUACUCCGGAGGAUGGGUAUAGUUAUGCCAGUUUUGAAUGUGUUGGUUCCAUUUACGACGGUGAUGAUUUUGUUCGGACGUUGAAGAGAGCCGUCCAGGUAUUUCGACCAGGGAAAGUGUCAGUGUCGACCACUACGGCCACAUCGCAUCGGGUUUGGGCGAGGGUGGCCGGAGCACUGGAGCCACUUGGGUUGAAAUGCCGGAGUUGUACGGUGGACGAAUUUCCGGCAGUGGGGAACGUUGUGUUCCAGACGUUUACGACCCGCCGGAAAAAAACAGGGGAAUGCGGCGGCGGACGGUAGAUAUUAAAAAAGAAAAUCUCUAGUCAGGGAAAGUUAGAAUAUGAUGAUAGGCCACGUGGCAAAAGUGAAAACUAUGAUGUUGAUGUGGAGGAAUUCAAUUGGUUAAUGAGAGUGAUGAAAUGUGGGGUUGACUUGUUUUUUCUUUUCUUUUCAAUUUCUUUUUUCUUCUUUCUCUUUUUCAAAUUUAAAAAAAAUAAAAAAAAAAUCUAAAAAUGAGGAGAGAGAUAUAGGGAUGGUGACGUGGAGUACCAAGAAGUUUGGGGGAUUUGAAAAAACAAAAAACAAAAAACAGAAAAACAGAAAAACAGAAAGAUCAUAAAUAUAAUGAUAAUGCACCCCACUUAGGGUUGUCACGCCUAAGGAUUUUUUGAAGCAUUUUGUGUAGUAGUGGAGAAAAAAAUAUAUAUAUUGAGAUUCAAAGUGCAAACCAAGUACUCCUUCUACUUCAUCAACCCUUAUAUCAACUUUUUUUUUCUCCUCUCUUCAUCCUUUAUGUAAUUUUCCCUAUUUUAAUUUCUAGCUAUCUUUAUUCAAUAGCGAUUACAAUUAAUAAAACUCUUAGCUUCUUCUUUGAGUUCCAAGGUUGAUUCGAGGCAUCCAAAAAGUGUAACAAGUUCAUUUUUGACUUUUUAGUGGAAUGCAUGUAUAUGCCAAAAUCAGUUUAAUUAGCAAUAUUUUGAUAGGGCAAAAGCUAGCUUACAACACUCUCCUUCUGCUUUGUCUAUCAACUAAUUUUUCUCUUCUCAUUUAUCUAAUUUUCUCUUCUAAUGUCUAGUGUAAAUUCAAUUCACAGACACUACAAAAUAACUAAAACUGACUAGAUCUUUUUUUUGAUUUCGAGGAUGAAAAAAUUCAAAGAUUUAAUCUUUUUAAACGUUAAAUUAAGUUGAUUAACAAAACAAGAUCACUCGAGAGAUGUCUGCACGGUGAUCUUAACAAGAUAAGAAAGGGCAGAGACAUAAUUUAAUUAAUUUGUAUUUUUGUUGUGAUGUAAUAUAAAGUUAAAAAGAAAAGUGAUUAUAUGUAUAUAUUAAUCAGGAUAUAGUGUUGUUGUUUAGGAAUGGAUGAUGAGUUUGAAAAUGUUAGGAUGAUGAAGGCUGGCGUGGAAGGCACCCAGAUAAGGCAGCAGCAAAGCAAUAAGACCACAUGAUGAUAAUUUGAAAGAGAGAGAGGGACACUAUAGUAAAUUUAUACAUAUAAUUGGUUUCCCCUUUCACACAUUUUAUCAAACAGAUUCUGCACGUGCCCAUUAUGCCCAUUAUGCCCAUUAUGCCCCUUUCUAAAUGCCUUCUCCACUUCCUCUCUUAUAUGGCCUUCCCACCCAUUCCUAUUACCCAAUACCCCUAAUUAAUUUCCUCCAAAUAUAUCCCUACAUCAACAACAAUAUUCAUUCCUUUACAAUAAUUCUACCGCUCUUUCCACUAUUCUGUGUCCUUUAUUUUUCCCAAACAAGUUGAUAUUCUUCUCUGAAUUUGAAUUAGAAUCCUAUAUGGCAUAUUAGUGGAAGUAAGAAAUCAAAAUUAAUUAAUAAACCUAAACAUACUCCAAACAAAUGGGGUUAAAACAUGCUAUUUAUCUAUUAAAAAAAAUUAGAUUUUGAUUAUCUCAAAUCUCACAUCUUAUUAAUCUAAAUAAAACAUAGUGUUAAUAUUUGGUUUUGGUGAACUUUGUCUUAAUUGUUUUUUCUUUCCAACUACUUCUACGUCGAAUUUGGCAAAAGAAAAAAAAAGAGUCAAACCACUUAUACCCAAACUAGAUAUAGAAAGAGGAAAAUAAUCGAAUGACUUGUGGAAUUUUGAUAUUCGUGGUACGACUAUUUGUAUGUGCAUCAAUGGGUCAGUUUUAGAGGGGGGAAAUCAUUUCCAUGGAUGUAUAAUUUUUUGUUUUGACAUAUUUGUUAGAAGAGAUAGGUUAGUUUUGUCCCCUCACACUCAUAGUGUAGGAGAAAAAGAGAGAAAGGAAAAGGAGGGGUAGGGAGUUGGGAGUUGGGAGAGGAAUCAAAAGCACAAUUUAGAGUGGAGGAUAUUUGGGAAAUGAGAAAUGAGAUUGGCUCAGAGGUUGAAGUUCCAUUUACCUUCCACCUUGUCCUUUUGCUUUUGGACACUCACUCAUAUUUUAUAUUCUUCUAAUAGGAGCAGUCUACCCUUAUAAUAAAUGCAAUCCCCAUAAACCACCAUCCUUUCCUUACCCACUUCCUUACUCAAUCUUUUUAUAUCCAAACACUUCCAAAGCAAACAAACAAAGAAUAGUUGCACUUUCGUUCUCCAACUUUCAAUUUUAAAAUUUCAGGUAGAAAUUGAACCCUAAAUGAUCAAAAUUAUAGCCUUCAAUUUAUAUAAUUGUUACCCAUUUCUACACAUAUGUAAGUUGAGAAAUUUGAUUCUAAGAAAAAAUAUUUCGGCAGACUAUUAUUGCCACAAAUAUAUAGGCCCUUUGUUUGGGCUCAUCAAAUCCCCAAUGGGCCUAAGAAGCCUCAACCACAAUAGCUUUUGGGUCUAACAAUUUCUCAGUAUGAAUGGGCCCUGGCCCGAUAAACAUAAUGCUAAACAACCAUGUAUUUGAGAAAAUAGCGGACAUUAAAAAUAAUUUGAUUUUUAGCCGUAUCUCAUAAAAUACAUUUUUUAUAUAUACUUUUCACUCUAUUUUACUCCUUGAUGGAAUGAAUAUCAUGCUGGUUAGUUACAAUGUAUUUGUUAACUGCAAAAUUAAUAUUACAAUGUAUUUGAUAUCAUUCAAUUUUAUUUUCAAACGAAAUUAAAUAAACGUUUAUUAAAUAAAUAUUUAUUUUAUUUAUUGAUCUCAUAUAACCAAAGUAGAUUCAUGUCUUAAAUUUUAAAAUAAUAUAUUUUACAUAAAGUUAUGCAUUUUAUAUAGUAACAACUUACUUAUGUUUCCUAUAAUUAUGCAUAUACAAUUUUUUUAAUAAAGGGAUUGACCAUAUUAUUAUAUAUAGUUUACACUAUUUAAUUCACAUAAUUAAAUCAUUAAUAAUGUUAUUCCAUGGUAGGUUUUGUUGGAGUGAAUAUUCUAAAUUUUGAAUUUAAAACAAUAUCUUCUACAUAAAAUUAUGCAUUUUAUAUAAUAACAAAUUCAUAUAAUUAGUGUAUCUUUCCAACUUUUAAGCAUUAUUUUAUGAAUUAAAUGUUAGUAUAACGGUAAGAAUAAAAUCAAUUUUCUUUUUUUAUUCUGACUUUUAUUUUGGGUACAAAAGUAUUCGAAUGAACUUGUUUUUAGUUUUGCAAAUUUUUCACUGCAGUUCUAUUUAUUGGUUGCAUUUAUCGUACCCAUGUUUUGGAAUUCCUUGACUUUUAUCGUAUAUCGUUUUUUACAACGGCAAUGCAACGUGUGAAACUUUUUUUUAUGGUAGAUGGAUAGAAUCUUUUCGAUAUAUUGACUACCAUGUGAUUGAUGUAUUUGUCCCAUGUUCAUCUUCAUUUCAAGAAUUCUUAUAGUGCAUUCAAGAUAGAAUUUUUCCAUCCUUACAUAUUUCUGUGUGUUGCAUUACUUUGUAUUGAGAUGGAUGCAAUAGUUCAAAUCUUAUUCGGAUUGGUGAAGACAAGGACGUGUAUUGGCUUAUGUUGAUUAUGUCGAAAUUUUCUAACAAUGAUUUUGUUUUAGUUCUUGAUUCUGCAAUAAAGAGAAUGAUUACCUUCAGAAUUGAACUUCUAAAGGUAUGAGGUGGAGCUUCACACUAUGUUUUUUUUAUUUUAGUUAUUUAGAGGGAAUUUUGUUUAUACCAUUUGUUUUCCAAUUACAGUGUAACGAGUGUUUAUGUUAGUGUACUAAAAUAGUCUAUCAGUGAUACACUUAUGGUUUAUGAUCUACCUGCAAUAAACUUUAAUAAAUUUUGUUAUAUUUGCAACUAUUUGUUUAUAUGAUUCAUAACACUAUUAUUGAACUAUUAUUCAUACAACCUUAUAGAGGAUACUUCAUAUUUUUCAUUAAUAUUCUUUAUUCUAUUAGAUUAAUAAUAGGAUAAAAUAUUCAACCUUAAGAAAAAAAAUUUGUUUCUACUACUCGAACCGAGAUUUUUUAAAAACAUUCUACAUUUUUACUUUUAGACACGUACGGAGCCUAAAGAGUAUAUUUUGAUGGGAGUAUAUGACAUAUUUGUUGACAUUAUUUUUUAAUUAAAGUAGAUAUGAAAGAUUGAAAUGUAUUGAUGAGAAUUGUGCAUAUGGCUUGAUUGGAUGAUGAUAAUAAUAAUACAAAUUUACUGAUCAUAAAGGAUUCAACAAAUCAAAUGGUUGGAAUUAUAGAAUUAGAUUCCCCCAAUAUGGGAAGAGAUGUAGUGGAUUUUGUGAAGUAAAGCUCCACUCAAAUGAUUGUGGUUGAAAAAUAAAACCUUUAAUUCAAAAAGGGGAAGAAAAAAAGAUUUGAGAUUCAGAAUCUUUGUUGAGAUUUUGAUUUUGGAUCAUAUAUUUGGUUUAUCUUUGAGCUAUAAUUUUCCCAUCCAAUAAAUAUUAAUAUAUUUUUCAAAUGGAUAUUUCUCAAUAUUAAUGAUUCAUAAUAAAUAAGUCUGAAGCUAAUCCCACAUCAAGAUUCCUCUCUAGACUGUCUCUUCCAUAAUUGACAUUUCAUUUAAAUUAUUCACUUCUAUUUCAACAACUAACCAAUUUGAUUUGAUAGUGUUAGAAUUUAUACCAACAUUAAUUGAUCAUCACACAAAAUCUUCUUAAAUAAUAGAGGAUAACAACUUUGAUUGUUAAUAAUAUAUAAUCAAUAUGGCCUUUUUCCCCUUAUAACCAUAUUGAUUUUUUUUUCCUAACGUGGAAGGUGUUAGGUGGAUGCUUUCGGAUUAUCUAGCUCGUACUAUUCGUCUUACCGACACAAACAUCAUUCCUAGUAGUUGUGAGGUUAAAAUUCUUGAAGUAAUGACAUUUUGUCACCAUUCACAAAGAGUAGCCCAAGUGAUUCGCUUGGUGGAAACUAAUUGUUUAGAGAUAACCUACAUGUUGAAUAACAUUGUGGGUGAUAUCACUGAAGGUCUUAUCUUUAUUUGAGUUAGUAUUAUGAGGGUAAGUUCAUUCUCUUAUGUUCGUCGGUGUUAUUACGACUUAUGCACUUUUUUGUUUAAAGCUUUAGAGAGAAAUGUCAAUCUUCGUAUUUUUCUUUUAGAAGUUAAAAUGUUGGUAUACUUCAAUUGAAUAAGAAACAUCACAACUUGAGGAAUAUUUGAAUUCAACGAUAUGAGUAUAAUAUGAGCAUUAUUUCAAUUCUGAAGAAAGCAACUUUUUCUUAUUCGAAGGUUAAAAAUGAAAAUUAAGAAUGUGAGGUUUUGUUUAGUGAUAUAUUUUUUUGCUUUAUUAUUUUUUUUUGUUAAAAAUAAAAUUAACAUUUGUAGUCCUUUUUAAAAAAAAAAAAAAAAACAAGGCUAAUAUUUUGGUUUAUACUUGAAAAGAAUAUAUAUAAAUAUAUAUAUAGUAGGUGGGUUAUUGUCCACAAUAGUGUAAGUUUGUUUCUUCCACAAAUUUUACUUGAAGAUGAAUGGGCCAAUAACUAAGGAAGACUCCAAAUUUUCAAACCCUUCAAAAAAAUCCAAAUCUGCCACACAAUUUCAAAGAGAGAGAGAAAAAGAAAAAGAAAAAAAAAACCUCAAUUAUAGACUUUUACUAUUCAAAUGGAAACAAUGACCAAAAUUUGGUCAUAUGAUGCAAUGUCUAUGGGAAGAAAAUUGAAAACACCUUGGAAAUUCCAAGCUUAAAGGUGGCAAAGGAAAGGAAAUGGAAAAGGGAAAAAAAAAGUCAUUUUUGACCUAAGUUUGUGAGUUGUCCAUCGACUUUCAAAUUUUAUCCAAUAUUUGGACCCUAAACUUAAACUAUUGUUGCUAAAAACAACCUAAAAAUAUUAUUAAACUCAUUACUUUUCAUUAUUCAUCAUAUUAGUUAUUUUCUUGCUUGCAACUCAAAUUGCAUCUUUUUACGUUCUUUCUUGUACGUUUGAUGAUACAUCUUCUUUCUCUACCGUAUCAAAACACUUUCUCUAGACUCCUAGUGAGCAAUCAAUCUUUCAUCUAUAUUUCACUUCGAAACAACUAGUGUGAGUAUGAGCGUGUGUAGAUCUAUUCUAAUGAUGUUCAUUUUUACUUGAAAUGUGAUCGAAGUCUAACAUCAACUAGAUAAGAGAAUGAUCAUACAUAUACAAUUAAUAAUGAUUAUCUAAAAGUGAUAAAAAAAAUCGAAAGUUAGGUUGUUUUUUACACCCUUUCUAUUGUGUGAUUCUAUCUUUUACUUGUGUGUCAUUUGCACUAUAUCCUCUUAUAAUACACAAGUAAAGAUCUUAAACUAGUCUAUGUCAAUUCAAACAAACCUCAAAUACUCUAACCUCUAUCUCUUCACAUGUGGUUGGGAGAAGGAAAAAUAAAUUAGUUUUCACAGCUCACGGGCAGCUCUGUUGAAAAAUUUGAAGUAGAGUUAUUUUCCAUUACCAGAAAAAAGAAAUGGUGAGUUUCAAGAUUUUCAAUGUGUGAACAAAUUUUUCUUACUGUUUUUGGGUCAUCUCAAUGUCCAAUCUUGUACCUUUCCUAUGCCCUCUUCUUCUUCUCCUUCUUCUUCUUCUUCUCUUUCUCUGUUUCUCACCGAAAGCCUAACACUGUUUUCGUUAACAUCUAAACCCCACAUUCCUAUCGGCUGCAAAAUUUGUUCUUAGGGUUAAUUUUUCUCGAUUACUUCGCCUUUUCUACCUCCUCGAGCCGUGAUCUUUCUUCAAAAGCAAUUACCCAUUUCCCCUGUUCUGUUGUUUUUGUUCUAAACUUACUGUUGUGAUACACACACACAUAUAUAGUGCUUUCUUUUGCGUCAGGAAGGAUUUCACUCAAAGGAAAAGCAAUCUUUCAUUUGCACAAUCGUUUUCUAAGUGGGGAAAAGGCCUUUUCUCUUUGUUUUCUUACAUAGGUUUUGCUGUUCCUUCUGUCUUAGCCUCUGUUCUUUUGCAUCUUUCUCAACUUUUUUACUCUUCUGAAUAAUAUGGGGUUUUCCUCUCGGAAAGUUGAUGGGGUUUGGUUAGAUUGUGUCAGAAACAUCUGGGUUUUGCUACAAGAGUUGAGUAUUUUAUAGUUCAAUUUCAAUUUGUACUAUUACUUCUUUGAGGACUUUCAUCAAACACCUUGCGGGUAACUUCGAACUUCAAUUUUUUUUUUUUUUUUUGCUUCUUCCAUUUGAGAAAUUAUGGGUUGUAUCCAUACAAAAUGUUGCUGUCGCUACCCAAAAUCGUUGGUUGGAGAAUCUCAAGACUUUCGACAAGGGGUUCCUUACUGUCUUCAAGAUAAGAACACUGUGAUAGAGAAAUCAUUGGAGAUGAUUCCUGUUGCUUCCCACAACUAUCAUUUGGAAUAUUUGGUUCUAGCUCAGCGUGGUUACUACCCUGAAUCUCCUGAUAAAGAAAAUCAAGACAGUUUCUGCAUUAGAACAAACAUUCAAGGUAACCCAAAUGCUCAUUUCUUUGGUGUUUUUGAUGGACAUGGUCAAUUUGGAAUGCAGUGUUCAAACUUUGUGAAAGAUAGACUAAUAGAAAAGCUAUGUAAUGAUCCCACAUUGUUAGAUGAUCCUAUACAAGCUUAUAAUUCAGCAUUUUUGUCUACAAAUGAUGAGUUACAUACAAGUGAGAUUGAUGAUUCCAUGAGUGGAACAACUGCAAUUACAGUUCUUGUUGUUGGGGAUACUCUGUAUGUAGCUAAUGUUGGUGAUUCAAGAGCUGUAAUUGCAGUCAAAGAAGGGAAUUGUGUUCUGGCUAAGGACUUGUCAAAUGAUCAAACACCAUUUAGAAAAGAUGAGUAUGAGAGAGUUAAGCUUUGUGGGGCUAGAGUUUUGAGUGUUGAUCAAGUGGAAGGACUUGUGGAUCCUGAUAUUCAGUGCUGGGGAGACGAAGAAAGUCAAGGCGGCGAUCCACCUCGGCUGUGGGUUCAAAAUGGAUUGUAUCCUGGGACUGCAUUUACUAGGAGUAUUGGUGAUAGUACUGCUGAGAAAAUCGGUGUAAAUGCUGUUCCUGAGGUCUUAGUUCUUCAGCUUAAUCCCAAUCAUCUUUUCUUUGUGGUUGCUAGUGAUGGAGUUUUCGAGUUCCUUUCAAGUCAAACUGUUGUUGAUAUGGUAUGUAAUGUUAUCAAUUUCUAGCUAUAUUUUUCUUUGAUAUUUUCUUCUUGGUCAUGAAUCUUGAUAUCCAGGUUGCCAUGUUGAAGAUUGGUAGAUACAAACCCGUUAGAUAGCUAUUUGGUUUGCUGUUUUUGAAAGACUCUUUUGAUUUCCUCAAAAUCUUUUGGUAACAUUUUCACAAAAGAUGCACCAAAGCCAUCUUUUGGAGAAUGUUAGGAUUUAUUCUCUAUUUUAGAGCUAUUUGCACGAUUUUAUCAAAUUAUAGAGACUAUUUAGAAACGUUUUAUCAAAUCACUAAGACUGAUAUUUAAUUUUUAAAAUUAUAGGAACCAAAUUUGUAAUUUAACCUCUUUUCUUUUUGUUGAAUUUUUGGUUUGGUUUUCUAAAAUGUUUUUAAAAAGUAGGUAAUAAAGUAAAAAAAAAAAUAUAAGUGAAAGUAGGGUUUAUAGAAACAAAAUGAUUAAUAGACAAGCAUACUUUUUAUCUGUUUACUUGUUGCUUCUUACUUUUGAACUGCUGAACUCAAUAGAAACGACUUCUAUUAGCCAAUUUGUGAGCAUAUACGUAAGUUGCGUUAAUAUGUUUUAACCAUAACUACAGAUCUUAACACAAUUUCUAAUGUUUUUUUCCCCUCUAUACAGGCAUCAAGUUAUGCAGAUCCUCAAGAUGCUUGCACUGCCAUUGCUGCCGAGUCGUAUAAACUAUGGAUGGAACAUGAAAAUCGAACCGAUGAUAUAACGAUCAUUGUUGUUCAAAUCAAAGGCUUGUCUAAUGUAUGAAAUUUACAAGAAUUAUUUCGGCUACAUAUUUCUUGCUCUUGAAUGUGAUGAUGAUAUAAUCUUCAACAGCAAAAUGCAGGAUGAUGUUGAACAAAGAAAAGAAAAGAAAAAACAUUUUGUUAUUACAUCUCUGUUAUCCCCUUGAUAUAAACCUACAUUUUGAACAGAAAAUUUAUGAUUCAAUGCUUAGCUUUCUCAUCUCUUAUCAAUUCGUUAGCUUGUAAGCUUGUUCCUCCCUUGUUUGCGUUGUUGGUUUAGUCAGGUGCUGAUAAUAAUCCUUCCAGCAACGGGCUGGAGACUGCUUCUUUGAGAAUUGAUUUCUCAGAUCUACCCACUGAACCGAACACUCAACCUGUUGCUGUGACAAAUCGAAACCCAGCGAUCGUGGUUCCAAUGCUGAAUAAUCAGACAUCUUUAUAACGGUAGUCUCUCUACUAUAAUAACAUAUUACCGCUAAACUUGUUGUUCGAAAUGAUUUAAGUACAUAAGCACUUAGAAAGAAAGUUAAUCUAAACAGAGACCAUUGUUCAUAGUUGUUAAAUGGUUUUAGCUUGUGUAUUCAGACUUCAGUGUUGCUAUAACAUUCCUCCACCAGCAGAAGAGACUUGUAAUGGAUCCUGAAAGGUAAAACUGACUAAAAAGCAUUUUAUAAUCUUAAUUUUUGCUUAGAAGAAUUACCUUUUAGUUUCUGACGUCACUUUGUUUAUACUUUUACAGUUGAAACAAAUACUGAUCUUCCAGCUUAGCAUUGGACCAACUAAGUUGAUAAAGACAGGGAGGUUUGGUGUCUUUGACAUGGAAAAAUGGAUGGAUUGUUCUCUUGUAAAUCCAUGAUAGAGAUUGAGAGAAAAAUCUACAGUUCCCAUUAAAAAGACAAGACAAAGAAAGGGAAUUUAAUGAGGUGGAUUAACUUCAAAGCUCAAUGAUAAACAAGUUUCAGACCCCACUUUGUUACCUUGUCUCUUCAUUUCUGGCUGGCAUGCUAAGGUAGAAUAUGUUGUAAAUAGCAAAAAAAAAAAGAAAAAAAAUUAUAUAUCCUUUUUCUUCUUCUGUUUGCUUAAGAUAGAUCCCACUUCUUGAAAAGUGUCAUGUCAAUGGUUUAGCUUGUUGUGAAGUUAACUUGUGGAUGACUGUCACAAAUUGUUGCUCAGAUGGACCCUCAAUUUUUUCUAUAAUUUCAAAUUUCAAUGUUUUGUGAUUCAAAUUCUCUCAUCCAAAUCACCAACGGUUACUCUCACGUGAUCAUAGUUUAGUAGAAAUUAACACAAAUAUAUUUUUGUUAAAAUUUUAAGAUAGUAAGGUUUGACAAACUAUUGAGAUUUUCGUGCGACCUGUUUGAUUUUUUUUUAUAGUAAUUCCACCCAUCCUAACUUUAACAAAAGGUCAAAACACAAAAAAUCUUGGAUCAUAUCUCGUUUGAGUCUUUGAGAAUAGGUUAGUUGCACACGCUCGAGCAUUUUUUAGUGUAGAAUAAGAAUUUAUUGAAAACAGGCUUAGUUAAACGGUAAUUGACAAAACUUUUAGUUGAUGGAAGGUUCAAUCUGAAAUAAUCUCUACAUAAUGGCAAAGACUUGGAAGAACAGUCAACCUUAUAGAUGUUACAAAAUACAUCUAAACAAGAUAAAACAAAAUCUUAGAUAUUAUUUGUUACAUUAUGCACCUUUGCAGAAUAAUCUUCACUUGCGUUGGCCAGAUUUCCUUCUCUCACUGCAAGACUUCAAAGCUUGAACCUCUACUAGACAAACCAUUAGCAGCGAGGAAAUGGAUUAGGACAGUCAUUUUAUAUGAAAAAUUAAAAAAUUGCACAAUAUAGACAUUAACAUUUCAAAUUGGUAAGAAACAGAAAGAGAUCUUGGCAACCACAAAUAAUUCAAAGAUGAACCUAUGAACAAAAUUAGAAUUCAGAACAAGAAGAAAUGAUCGAAUUGGUGAAAACGAUGGUCAGUGAGAGAUGAACAGUAUACCAGCCUGGCAAGAUUUCCAGUUCCUGUUAGUUUUGAUAAGACAAUCCUGAAAAUUAUAGGGAUGAAGUUAAUAAACAUCAAUUUACAUUUUAGGGCUUAGGGUUUUAGCAGAACGUAAAAAGGUAGAAGACGACGAACAGAACCGCCAAAAAGAAGAACCUGUAAGGAUAAGUAGAAGGAUGAGCAUUCAUUGAGCUGCUUGACGUUCUCGUCUUCAUCGUCAGCAUCACUCCGGUGAAGAGGCGGCUGAUUCUCCGGCGAAAUCGGCGGUUUCCCCAUUUUUUUUCCUUCAGGUUCGACACAAAUUUUAUACGAAAUUCAAACUUCUUAGCGUAAUAAGUUUGAACUGCUCAAAGUUCGCGAUUUAUUAUAGAAUUUCUUCUCUUCUUUUUCAUAUAGAUUAGGGUUUGUAUAUUUGUGCUUAAUUUAGUGUUGCAAUUGCUAACGGAUUUUGAUUUUGAUUCUUCCUUAUUAAUAUAGUUUUUUAAAAAGAGGAAAGGUGGUGUGAAAAAAAGUACUAUCUUUUUCCUUUUUUUUUUUUAUGCAAUUUUUAAAUCUACAUAUUUUCAUUACAAAAGAGAAAUUGUCGAUCACUUUUUAAUAUAGUGUUUGGUGUCCUUUUAAAUAAAAUUUAUGGAUCUCCACUUAUUCAAAAGGAUUGAAUUUUUGCACAAAUAUAAUUAUUAUAGAUCUUAGGAGAAAAAAAAGUUAAAUGAUAGAAAAGGCUGGUAAUUAUUCCAAAAAAGACUAUUAAUUCUGCAACAAAACCGCUCAUACCGGGCAAUGCAAGGGAAGCCAUCGAUAAGAUACUGAAAGUCGUAAAUAUUUUUGGAAUUGGGAUAGCCAGUCCUCCCAUUUCAUCAAGAUAAACCAGACGUAUUCUAUCAUAACUUGUUCCCGCUAAGAAAAAAAGCGCAGCGCCAAUAAAUCCAUGAGAGAUUAUUUGUAAAAUAGCUCCAUUCAGUCCCGUAUCGCUUAUAGAACCAAUUCCUAUAAUUAUGA